rnacentral:lncRNA from 1 species
GACGGGUUUGGUGCGCGGUUUCUGAGCAAGCGCCGCCGGUCUGAUUGCUAACAUUAUUAACGUGUCACUGCGUAUCCAGACGCACGCUCUUGUGUUAACGUGUUGUUGUUGCAAUUCCCACGGUUUGCACCACUCGUCUGUCAGAAAUGGUUGUUUCGAUGUGUACCAAGAGCUUGUAGAAAAUCGAACACGUGUCGUCCGUUGCAGCCACCACAGCGAGUCGACCCUUGUUGGAAGCGUGCUGUUUGAUCUGCAAGUGUGCUUUGUAUGGUUUUUCUGACAGGGUUUUGUAUGUGUUGUGUGCGUGUUGUUUCUGCAAGUGUACUGUUUUCUGUUCUUCUCAAGCGGACGGUGGUCUUGUUCUUCAAUCAAACAAAAAAGCAGUGUGAUCCUUUUCAGCCAAGACCUGAAUGCUACUAUUAUCAUCUACUUUCUCUGUAAAGAAAUAUAAGAGCAUUUAGGUCACUGAUAGAUCAAUGCGAAUACUCAAAAGUCCAGGCCAGUGGAUGUCGUGAUAGUUCAUAUACAUUCAGUGCCCUUUUCUCUAAACAAAUCUCCCUUUCACAUGUCCUAGAACACUGUGAAUACUGUUUUCUGUUCUUCUCAAGCGGACAGUGGUCUUGUUCUUCAAUCAAACGAAAAAGCUCAGUGUGAUCCUUUUCAGCCAAAACCUGAAUGCUCUACUAUAAACUACUCCCUCCGUUUCUAAAUAUUUGUCCUUUUACAGAUUUCAAAUGGACUACCACAUACAGAUCAGUGCGAGUACUCUCUAUGUGAAGAAAAGUGCGAGUACUCUCUAUGUGAAGAAAUAUAAGAUCGUUUAGAUCACUAAUAGAUCAGUGCGAGUAUUCAAAGUCUAACCCAGUGGACGUGAUAGUUCAUACUAGCAUAGCCCGCGCGGCGGCACGCCGCGCCCAUUGAUACGUUGUGGUCGUAUGGAUUGUGUUUAUUAUUUACUAGAUCAUCGAUGACGCGCAUUGCUGCGUCCAUCUAUUUCUAUGUGUUGGCUCAAAAAAUUACAGUAGUGAAACCAUAUUGGAGCUUGAUAUGAGCUUUAUAAAUCAUUUCCAAUGUUUGAAGCAAAAGCGCAAAAGCUUUGAAGCUAGAUAUCAAUGCUGGGUGCAAUAGCAAGACUUCAUAUGCUCACAAUAUCAAGGCACUUGAAGUGAAUGGUAGAAACUUUAUGAGAGGUCAUGUCUCAAACCCACUUCAUUGCCCUAAGAAAACAAAGUAGGAAUUUAAGCCCGGCCAAUGUUUUAUUUGCAUGGUAAUACGUGUCUCAUUUAUAUAGAAUAAAGAUCAAGUUACAAGGCACGUAAGCACCGACUAUACAAGACUAAAGAGAUAGGAAAAUCCUAUGCAAAAUACCAACGUCUGUCCCUCUCCUUCGACACCACCGAAGCGGCCACCAAAGGGUAAGAAGACAGAUCACCUCUUCACCCAAACUCGACGCGGCUCCAUCGUUGAUCAGCAGCUUUGGGGAUCUCCAAAGUAGUUUGCCAGAAGCAAAACCAUAGCCGUUGAAAGAAUCAGACCGGGGCAACAUGUCCCCGGACAUGCCAUCGAACUUCAGAACUGACACCCCCACAUGACGACGACGUCGGAGGAGGAAACCAGAACUGUCAGCCUUCAACCACAGACCCAGCACAAGAUUCUCCAUCUUUCAGCUGUCACUUGCGUAGACAACCGUCUGCGCGUACUCCUGAACGACAAAACCUCCCUGCUCCACCAUGAUAUCGGAGACAACGCCAUAGCAACGGGGACAGAGCAGAAGGAGAGACACACCUGAUGGAGUCGUCGCCACCGCCUCGCCAACACCAUCCAUGAACCCUAACGCUGCUGAUCUGAAGGAUCGGCAGAGACACGAUGCCAUCAACUCCGAGACGCCGCCGUGAAGGGCACCGCCGGUAUGGGAGUGAAGCUGAGGCAGAUUUAUUCGUCUGUGCGCCGCUUCCACCACCCCAACGACGCACCACGACCUACAAAUCCAAAACCUAACUACAGAGCAUAGGAACGGGGUACCCCCUCCCUCCUGCCGCCGGAGCAGCGGCCGGAGGGAGAGGGGGCCAGCGCACAGGCUAGUGGAGAUCGGUGGAAGGAGAUGUUUAAAAACAGAGUCAGGACAUCGUUCAAAUGUUAUAGAGUUUCAAGCAUCAGAAGUGGUAUGAUAAAAAAAGAUAUAAUAAUAAUAAUAAUAAUAAUAAUAAUAAUGCUUCACCUAUGAAUUUCCUCGCUUCCAGUCGUCUCUGGUACAGCGCUAGAUCAGAUUGAAGCUUCUUUGGGAGGUGUAGCGACGGAAAGGGUGAGAAAAAAGUGAUAGGGGAGGAGGCAUAUAUACACGUACCUGCACCCUUCGGCAGUGGAAAAGAUCGGCACAUCAGCCACCAUGAAUGUGUGAAUAGAAACUGAAGUAUUAUUGCCUCUUUCAAGUUUCAGCGGAGCAGUUUCGAUCAGAUGAAGCGUCGGCCUGUCCUCUGGACCGAGCCGCCCCCGCGUACCCCGCAUCGCGCGCAAGGGAUGGAUCCCCUCGGAGAUCAAUCGCCCGCGUCACCCGCAUCACGCAUCUGUCCUGUUGACCUUCCCUCUGGCAGGGACCGAACGAUUUUUCUUCGGGAGGCUAGGGAUUCGGCGCUCAGGUCGACGAUCUGGCCCUCUAGUGAAGCUGAGGCAGAUUUAUUCGUUUGUGCGCCGCUCCCACCACCCCAACGACGCACCACGACCUACAAAUCCAAAACCUAACUACAGAGCAUAGGAACGGGGUCCCCCCUCCCUCCCGCUGUCGGAGCAGCGGCCGAAGGAAGAGGGGGCCAGCGCACCGGCUAGUGGAGAUCGGUGGAAGGAGAUGUUUAAAGACAAAGUUAGGAGAUCGUUGAAAUGUUAUAGAGUUUCAAGCAUCAGAAGUGGUAUGAUAAAAAAAUAUAAUAAUAAUAAUAAUAAUAAUAAUAAUAAUAAUAAUAAUAAUAAUAAUAAUAAUAAUGCUUCACCUAUGAAAUUUGAAUAGGUGAGAUUCAUUUCAAUGGGGUAUUUAAUAGUUUGUUAAAACUUUCAGAGGGAGAACAGAAAUAUUCCAAUGAUACUCCUUCCCAUGACGUUAUCUCCAAAUAAUUUUCUUGAUCCGCAAAAUAAUAAUCCCUUGUUAUCUUAUAUGGCGUUGCAAACACAAAAUGUUCUAUGCAUGCCAAUGAUAGAAAUAAACUAUGCUAGAUCUAUGAAUGAGACAAAUACGAAUUAGUCUGUUCUUGACGAAUUGCUUCAACUACAAAAUUACAAAAUAUGAAAAGAAAGUAAUUUAUGCAUCAAUUCAGUAACAAUGAUCUGCAGCUUAGUUGGGCAUACAUCAAACAACUUGUCUGCAUAAAUUUAAAAGGUGCAAAAAUUGAACAGCAGUAGCACAAAUCAAUAAAUAUAAAUCUGAAUGGUUAUGAUUCAGUAUGAAAUGGGAAAUGUUCUCCAUCAGUGACCUUCUAAACUGUUUAGAUUAAAUGAAUUAGAUUAGAGAAAAAUGAUAUAGGAUCUUAUGUACCUUUGUUGUCUGAAUGUAUGUGAAGGAUAGAUGAAACUUGUCGUGUGAUACGAUCUAGUCGGUGAGAUAUAUAGUAAGGUCAGCGUACAUGCUCAGGACCAGAGUUACAGCACGUUGUGAGCUCCCGCACUUUUUGGCCUGGUAAAAGACCUUCCCAAAGAAAAGAAAAAAGUCUUUAUAGGAUUGAGAUGUAGCUCGGGCCUAUAAUAGCUUAAAGUAUGUAUCUUCCUUGCCACUCUCCUACAUAGCAGAGUACAGACUACAGUAUACAGUGGACAAGAAACCCAUCUUCACUUAGCAUUCCAUGCUAACUAACCUGAUUGCCAUUGCAAAUAAUCAACUCGUGAAUAUUUUUCCGAAAAUUUUCCAGAACCAUACUUCAAUAGUCUUCACUUAGCAUUCCAUGCUAACUAACCUGCAGCAGAAAAAGAAAAAGAAAAAGAAAAAACAGAUUUAGGACGACUUGAAUUGACCAAAUGAAGAAGGGUGACAGGGAGGAAAAAUAUGCAGAUACAACAGCCUUGGUGGAGAACAGGAGAGGCAUGGCCGGUGGACAUGGUAUUUCCGGAGGAAGAAGGGGGAAAGGUAUAAAGGGACGGGACGUACUCAUAUCAUAGGAGUGCAAAAUUGUAUCGCACCUCGACCAUCCGCCGGCACCGUUCCCUCGAGUGCCAUUAAUUGCUAUACGAAACAUACAGACGUCUGCUUGCUUGACUCCUCUUUUGAAAAACGACGGAUGAACUUCCCUGCAUCAGUCGGUGAGACCUUCUUCACAUCGAUUGGCAAGGCCCCAUGUCACCUAUCUCGGCCGCUUGCCACUGCAUCUCCCCAAGUCACCUAGCAUCACACUGCGCCGCUCUGAAUUUCCUCGCUUCCAGUCGUCUCUGGUACAGCGCUAGAUCAGAUCGAAGCUUCUUUGGGAGGUGUAGCGACGGAAAGGGUGAGUAAAAAGUUAUAGGGGAGGGGGCAUAUAUACACGUACCUGCACCCUUCGGCAGUGGAAAAGAUCGGCACAUCAGCCACCAUGAAUGUGUGAAUAGAAACUGAAGUAUUAUUGCCUCUUUCAAGUUUCAGCGGAGCAGUUUCGAUCAGAUGAAGCAUCGGCCUGUCCUCUGGACCGAGCCGCCCCCGCGUACCCUGCAUCGCGCGCAAGGGAUGGAUCCCCUCGGAGAUCAAUCGCCCGCGUCACCCGCAUCAAGCAUCUGUCCUGUUGACCUUCCCUCUGGCAGGGACCGAACGAUUUUUCUUCGGGAGGCUAGGGAUUCGGCGCUCAGGUCGACGAUCUGGCCCUAGAGCGUGCGGGUUAGACAAAUGGGCCGGCACAAAAGCCCAGUGCACCACAUAUCUCCGUUUUUUCUUCCGGAGUAGAGGCCCUUUAGGACAGUUGGGCCAGGAAAAAGAAACUGCGGUAGAGCUCGACAUUGGCAGCAGAUCUAACGGCUCAGAUCGACCAGAUCACGCGAAUGGACGUCCAUAAACACUCAAGUCGUGAGAAGGCUUCCUUUAGGCUCAGUUUUACUGUCCUUAAUAACUAAUGUUAUCAAUUUAAGAUAGCAUAUCAUUACGUAAAAUUGUGGACUUAGGAAAAUAAGUAGGAAAAGGUGAACUUAUUGUCAUGCAUGUUGGAUGUUGCUAUUCUCAUUGUUACAAAAGUAUCACCCUUUAAUUGUCAGCAAAACAUCAUGAAGAAGAGAAGAAGAAACUCUCUGACAUGCUAUUGCUAUCAUUUGUAUCUUGCUAUCUGUAGGACACACAUAGAAAGAACUUUGAACUGCUAAUAUCUUAGUGGAUUUGAAAUUGUUGACUCGGUAUCUGACUGUAAAUAUAGUAGAUGUACAUUUUUAUAAAUUUUGCACACACAAAACACAUGCGAUCACGUCAUCCUAAAUAUAGUAGAUGUACAUUUUUAUAAAUUUUGCACACAAGAACACAUGCGAUCACGUCGUCCACGUGCAUGGCACAUGCAUGCAAAAAGCCGUGUACAACUUGACGUGACCCUAACAGCUAAAUGCAGAAACAAAAUCACAUCGUCCACGUGCAUGUCCGAUGCACUCGCGCAAUCGCGUACAGUACCCCUAACAAUUAAACGAAAACACAUCGGGCAAAAACGUCGCCAACGUGCAUGGGCCAUGCACACACACAAGCAUGUACUGCUCGGGGUAACUUCAACAACUGAGCAUACAAUAUUCCCCAACCAGAUAAAUCAGAUUUAAUUUUAGUACAUCCGACCAACCCUGAGAAGACAAAACUGAUUUUUCUUUUGACGGAAAAGACAAAUUUGAUUUGACUUCACUACAUCCGAUCAAAUUCUGACAGCUACCUAUUUAGACCCGUACACAGCCCAUCAUGCAACACCCUUCUCCGAUCUACAUGAAAUCAGGACAUGCAAUACAUGCCCAAAGUUUAGAACAUUCUAUUUUGCUGUCUAGCCACAAUCUAUAUGAACUUAGCUGGAACAGGCUACAGAAUAUUCGCACAUACAAUGGAACCAAAGAAAAAAAACAUAGCUAGAUUAAAAAUAUGUAACUGAAGAAACAAAGAAAUACCGGACGGCAACACAGACACACAUGGCCACAAGAAGCGGAGCUUCCACCGGAACUGAUAGUGCGAGGAGCGCACUCCUCUGCCUCGCCCUCGGCCUCCGGGUGCAACCUGAUCCACCCCUCUAUGUCUCUACCAGAUGGCGACGGCCGAACUGCACGGUGAGACAGAGCAGGCAGCAACCGCACGGCGCCCCUCGACGCGUAGAACCGUGAUGCUCCAGCGGAACGCUCAAUCUGGGAGAGGAGGAGGAGUGUAGGAAGAGAGAGGGUCGAGAGAUUGUCCCUCCAUGAAUGCCUGCUCUCCUUACUGGACUUGUGAGGCAUCGCCUCGACAAAAGAAACAAGGGAGAGAUGUCCCCCUCAUAGCCCCUGCAUCAGCGCGCAUGUGCUCCAGCUCCGGCCCUGACAUGCAGUGAAGGAAAGUCCGGUCUGAGAUGCAACGUCUUCCGUCAGAUACAUCACCCGGCCCAGCCUCGUCGACGCGCCAAGCACGUCUGUAGAACGACAAAGUUGUGAUCGGAGCACCGAUUAGCUUCACGAUAUCAAGACAGUCGCAAAAGAAAUACAAAUACCUGCGAUCUGCGAACAGAAGUUAGACGUCGAAGUCGAGGGCGCGGCGGCGAUGGCCGGCAUCCUCGUACUUGCGUACGCUCUCGUGCGAGGCGUCACCGUCAUCGAAGCAGAGCGCCACCAUCGACUCCGGCAGUUGCGCUACCGCAUCUGCGUUUAGCCAAGCGCAUGUAAGAUCGCGGCGCUGCAGCACAAUCUCGUCCAGUCCAGUCGGUGGUCCAUGUCGCCGCACCUCCGCAUGUGCUCUGGCGGUGUCAGCGACCGACAAUCGUACACACCCGUCGUGCUGCCGCCGCCGUUCUUCGAGUCGCCAUGGAAGGCCACAGAUAGUAGGAUCCUUCGACUGCAUGAACCGAAGCACGAACAUCACACACAGGCACAAACAGCCCAAUCGCAGGCGACACACCGCGAACUCCGCUAGGCCGCGCAGCGCCGCAAUCACAUGUGAGUUGUGCCGAUGCCCACCAGAACGGGCCACGUGCACCGCUGCGACACACUAUGUGAGCCCCUCCAUGGCCUCGUGCUCCCGCCACAGUGUCGCCCGAGCGGCCGUGCCCCGCGCUGGCCGUCGCCCUAGCUGGGGAGCGCGAGCUCUGAUGCCACGCCGCGCCCCCGGGAGCUCACUAACCGCUGUCCGCCAGCGCCACCACUUCAGACCACAUAGGCCGGAGGCCUCCUGCAACUGCAACCUCCAUUCGUUGUUGCGCCUGCAGCUAGCGACGUGCCUCCUGCCCCAGAUCGACGCCCAGGCAGAGAAGAAGACGCACACAAUAGAAAGAAGGGAAGAAGGCCUCGCUGGUGAAACUCACCUCGCAAAGGCCUCCGCUCCGAAGGCCUCCCCGAGAAGACAGGCAAGAAUGUGAGACCGGAACACCUUCCGAAGGUACACGCUGGUCCGGCAAAACACCGGAAGCAGCAGCACGGCCAGAACCACCGCGCCGGCCAACUAAAGCCCACCGCUAGCGAGGAGGCCGACCGGGACGACGCGAUCGAUUACGACCGGACGAAGAGGCGACCAUGGAAUUAAUGUAUCAGACACCGAUGAAGACCUGACGCAACAAUAUGGCAAGGAAGGCAACCUAUUUAUAGCCCCGCGUUGUAGCAUGGUACGUAGAAGUCUAACAUGGGAAGGACGACAGCAAUAGACGGCAAGUAUUCUAGAACACGCUACAAUAGUGGCACCGAGAAGGAAGAAUGGCAGGCUCUUGAAUCGACCAUAAAAGCGGAAGCGAUGGAACCCAACAGUAAGCUCUAGACAGGACGACCGAAACGACACGGCAGUUGCUGGGAAUAGGACGGCACCGCGUAGACAGACAACCGAUCAAGCCAAUAAAGACACAUACGCUUAGCAGAAGCCAAUGGAAACCCGCAGAAGCACCGGACCAUAGACAAAAUCUUGGGCUGCGAAGUCAACCAAACUGGCUGGCCCACAUACAACCUAAAACGCUAGACGGACCAAUGAAAGAGCUACACACGUUGAGAAAAUUUUAAACGAAAACGUAGGGACACCAGACGACUGUACACGGCCAUAUACCAAAAAAAUAGCACGUGGCAUGUUCAAACUUACCCAUGGAUCAUUUUCAUCCAAGUGGUUGAAUCUCAGGGCAAAAACAUUGCGUGGAAUAGAGGCUUGGGUAUACAUUCAGUGUCCUUUUCCCUAAACAAAUCUCCCUUUCACAUGCCCCAGAACAAGCUCUAAUAUUAACUUUUGUAUGGAGAAGAUGAGCCUGGCUGCGCGCUCCUGAUAAUCCGGGCCGCGCAUUACCAGGGAUUGAAGGGCAGUGCCAGCGGUGUCCUCAACAUCGUUUUUCUUCCUUGGAGGCAUCACCUUGGAGAUCUCGCCGAUGGGUUUCGACGGUGUUCACGAUUGAUGGUAGAGCUUGGGUUUGUGGUGCUGCCGACGGGUCCUUAUUUCUUUCUUUUCUUUUUGCACUGCCUUCGCGGUGCUUUCCUCCUCCGAGGACUCUUGUAACACCUUCUAAUCAAUGAAUUUGGCAGUUCUCCUGUCAACAUUCAUUUUUUUUGGUUUGAUACUCUUGGCCUUCGUGCCUGUCAUGCGCCUGAAAUGAUCAAGGAGUCAUGCCUGGUGAGGCUAGCCUGGGGUGACUUUGUUUUGUAUGCGUCCAGGCUUGGCUUGCUAUUAGAAACCUAUCAAUAAUUGACAAGCCAUGCUUUCACCAUACAACAGGCAAGGAAUAGUCUUGCUAAGUCUUAGUUGAUUAAGAAUUCGUUAAGUCUCGGUCAAUGCUAUAUUCGUUUGAUUUUACAUUUUUUUGAACGGUCAAGGGGGGAGGGAUCGCUCCCCACCUGAAUAUAUUGCUCAAAAAGUUGUCGAAGCCAAGAGUCGUCCCUUAAGCUUUGGCUGAUCCAGUUUAAAGGGAAACAUGAUCGAAAACCUGAAUAAGUUGGUCCCGUUUAUGAGGAAAACCGGACCGAAAAUUGUACAGGUAUAAGAAGUGUAAAGGAAGAAGAAAGAAAAAGGACGCCCAAGACAAGGCACGCCUAGCUAACACACAGAAUGACCAUCACCACGAAAGACAGAAGUAUAUGUGUGGUGUCAUCGAGGGAUCACAAUACCGGGAAUUUGCAAGAAGCCUAACGCACCAGCGUGCGUGCCGAGCCCCACGACACAACUCAGGAGCAUCCACAAUCAACGAGUGCACUAAACACGAACCUUGACUAGGAGCUCUGCCACGGAAAAUUAGAAUGAUUAGCAAGCUGGGGAGGCAUCUUGCGCCAUCAAAGGGCAAAGAUGAAGUGAGACAUCACCAAGAGCACGAAGCUUGCCGCAACACAUCGGCACCCAUGGGAGGGUCUUGAGCACAACACCAGGGUGAGACACCUUCACGAGGGGAAAACAGAUAGCUGCCCCGCGAAGCCAAAAGCACCGCCGCCGAACCCCAAAGAACAGCACCGAACAAUCAACGGCCGCACAACCACCAUCACCGCAGUGAGCAAGAAACACUGAUCAACCAUGCAACCCCAAAAAUGAAGCCUUCAAGAAGGGCCACGACGCCGGUUACGCCGCCAUCAUCCGUACCAGGAAGACCUGGACUAGGGUUUCCCCCGGGGUGCCGACGAGGAGGAUUAAACGACAUGACAACGACGCCUCUAAGAAGGUUAGCGACGCCGGCUCCGGAUGAAGCAAGGCUUUCGCCCCAGUUGAUCAGACACCUCUCGAAGAGUACAUUAUGAUCCGUGCAAAAUUUUAUUUUCAGUUUUUUUUCACUCUUGCAUGUUACGUCAUUUAACAGAAACUUAAUUAAAUCUCAAUCGACUAAGAUUUAGACACACCCUCAAGGGAACACUAAAUUAGUGAGCCGAGGCGACCUUUUCCCAAUUUCUGACCUAAGAAAGGACGGCGCCCUUCCUCAAAAUAAAAGAAAAGAAAGAAAGGACGGCGCCCAUACUUUGGCGUGCAUAAAGCAGGUCUGGAGAGUCCAACUCUGUCUGCAUUUCACACAGACAUCAGUUAGCAUAGAUGGGAAGCGAGCUCACUCUGCGAAAGUAUUAUACGGCAAAAACGACAAAUAUGACUUGUGGUCGAAAUUAAUUCACAAACUGAACUGUUGGUGAAUUUUUUUCGUUCCGCUGACUCUCUUAUGUAGCACCGGACAUCCAGGCGCCACACUACACUGUGCAGUGUCUGACUGACGCUACACGUCUGACCAAUGUCACACCCCGAGAUGCCUAAAAAUUGCUAAGCCAGUGUGCAACGUCUGACUAACAGGUGCUACACGUCUGACCAACGUCACACUGCUAGCUCUCAGGCGUUGCACAUUGAAUUAAUAAAUUUUGAACAGUCCGGUAUGCGACGAUGGUCGAACGUGCAGCGCAUGUGUAGUGUGGCGCUUGCUGUCAGACGCUACAUAAAAGGAUCAGUGGAGCGAUUUUUUUUGUCAACAAUUCAGUUUGUCAAUUGAUUUCGAUCGAAGGUCAGAAUAGUGAUUUUAACCGUACUAGUAAGUGUGCACGUGCAAUGCACGUCUAAUAUUACAACCAGAUGCGAGAAUUCACAUACUUUAAAAAGUUAUUCUAAUAGCACUAAAAGUAUAUUACAAAUCAACUAUAAUUUAAAUUUAUUUCAAGAAAUGAUAUAAUUUAGCGGCGUACAUUUAAAGACACACUAACUAUCUCAACAUUUCUCAAUAUGCUUAAGCUAUCUCAACGUAGCAAAAUCAUAGAAGGUAUCCCCAUUUCAUUACCAAGAUUUUUUUUUAGAAAGAUAUCCUCUCUACCUUUGUUAUUUUGUAUGUACAUCAACAACAAACAGGAUCAAACAAAAUUAUCAAAAUGUACAUGGUCAGCAAAUCAUUCCAUUUAUUACUUUUUCCAUCGAUGGAAUUUCAUUCAAAAGUUACAUCACCGUAGAAAUAUUUCCCUUUGCCCCUGCCAUAGAAAACUUACGCCGAAGUAUCGAUCAUAAAGGUAUGUAUGAGCGUUGUGGUAGGCAGAGGUCUGAACAGCAGCUUGUGGAAGAUCUCGUGACGCCGGCGAGAGUGACUACAAAUAUUGACAAAAAACACAUCACCUAGCAUUUCACCGAACAAAAGAGCAUGUACAUUGUACUUGAUUAAGAAAAUAAAUAAUUGUGUAAAGGUAUCCCUUGGAAUGAGUCCUUUGUCAGUGAAGAAUCUUGGACAUAUCAGAACAUUGAGGGAACAAGCAUUACUUACUUGCUCUAAUGUUUCCUCGUCUGUACUGUCCUGGCAAACAAUGCAUUGAUCACUCCAGCUCAAAUCCUAGAAAAAUAUAAAGAGAGAAACUAAAUUCAACAGUGUACAGGAGCAGAGAAUAUAUAUAAUACUCCCUCCGUUCCAAAAUAUAGCGCGCCCACGCUUUUCGAGGUUCAACUUUGAUCAUAAAUUUAACCCACGAGACCGACUGCGGCGGGAUCAAAAAUUAUAUAAUUAAAAACUUUUUUUGAAUACGAAUUCAUUGGUAUAAUUUUUUCGCCCGCCGCAGUCGGUCUUGUUGAUUAAAUUAAUGGUCAAAGUUGAAGCACGGAAACCGAGGACGCGCUAUAUUUUGGAACGGAGGGAGUAUGAACAUCCUUGUCGUCCUUAGAUCUCUGAGAAUCCUCUGUUUUCUCAUGGGAUGGUUUUUUCUCACCCCUUGUGUUUGCAUUCUUCUCAGCAUCUAAAGCAAGUUCAGCCACAAAGACGUCUCUCUUGCUGCAUCAAGUCUCUCUCUAGCAUCCUUGUCCAUUAGCUCUUCGAAAUAGCUCUAGAUCACCACGCCACAAAGGCACAAACUGUAGUUAAGAAAUAAACAAUACCACAAAGUCAGCAUACAGACUCGCAAGAUGGAUUUCAGGAGGGAGAGAAGAAUUGACCGAUUGUCAAUGAAAGCAGCAGAUUAAGCUUGAGAUUCACAUAAUCCUAGAGUCUAUCUUGCCAAUCUGCAAGUGGAACAGUAAGAGAACAUAUAAGUGAGCUCCGUAUCUACUUGUUCCUUCAGCUCCAAAACAACCAUCAGCACCACCGCAUCGCUUGAAUUGGUAAAUUCAUACAACCUACGAUCUACUACUGACCCAUCAAAGUCACACGGGCAUACCUGAACAAGCUCUGCUCGUACUCAACAAUCAACAUGGUGGUACUCCACACCGGACGGCCGCCUCCUCCCACACUUCUGCCGGAGGUCUCUCUCCACCGCACCACAUCUACCUCCUCCUCCCUCAACUCCCGCUAUCGCACACACCCCUCACCCCCACCGCCAUGGCAACCAGAGGAGGAUUGGCUUGCGACAGGUGAGGAGUAUUCAUGGAUUCGUGGAAGUAGAGGAGGAGCGGCAGGGACUGCAGCCUGCUCUCGCGUCCGUCAGAAGAUGAGCGGCAGGGCCGGAGAUAGGGGCAGGGACGUGCGAGGAAGGUGGCUGUGGCCUGUGGGUCGCCGAGGACCUUGUGGGGCGCGGGUUGCCGGCGUGUGUGGGGGUUAGAGGCAUUGGUGGGCUGUCGCCUGGGGAAAACAGCAGGGAGCUGUUGCGGUCGCCGGCUGGUGAAGGUAGGCGUUGCGGGCACCGGGGACGGUGGCAGUGCGGGCGCCGGCGAUUGCGGGGAUGCGACGUGCGGGUGAGUUAUGUGGGGCGAUUGGAUCUUUUUUUUCUAGUAUGGGGCGAUUGGAUCUUGAGGUGUGAUCGCACAGAGUUUUCGUCCGCCUAUUGGAAUCGCUAAGUGCACCCAUGGGAUGUCAUUAGAUUAAUCUGGUCUGUUAGAUUUUAUUCAUUUGGACAAUCAGACGGUGAUAAUUAAUCGUGUACACUAAGCGGGGUGGUUAUAGAAAAGAAAAUGUUUUCUUGUUUAAUAGUAGUAUAAUAUAAAUAUAAAUAAAUUAUACAGAGAGACCGUCGGACCUCGGCCGGCCCCUUGCGGGAGAGCGUCGACGGCAAUGAAGAGACCGAGGAAGGCCGGGAGGAGCACGCCGCUCCCCGUUGCCCCGCUCCCGUAGUACUCGAUGAUCCCUUAUUUUCUGUGGGGGUGCAGCCAAGUUGUUUCUUGCGUGGGCCUCGGCCUGGGAGUCAUGAGACCGCGGGUAAUAAUGUGUUCAUGCUUUCGCUGGCGUCCAAAGUUAAAGCUACACAUUACAGUUCUCCGUCCGGAUUGUCAUGAGACCGCGCGUAAUAAAUAGUGUGUUCAUGCUCACAGGUCACGAAUCUGUCCUCACAGGCAACGAAUCUGUUCGCUGUGGACGGGACGAGCGGCGCUGGCGGGAGCUUCGAGCUGGAUGGUCGGCCAUGAGAUCCUCCGUCUCGACGUGCCUGCGUUACAGUCCGACGGUCACAGCUCUCACGCCAACUCCAACUGCCGACCCUAUUUGGUCUGGCCACGUUCGUUUGAAUCAAAAUGGACAUAAACUACACACACGGGACCAUGACCGUAAAAAACGUUCGUCUAUUGUUGGGAUAAAAAUCUGGCGCAAAUUUGGACCUGAUUUGCGCCGAGACAAACACUGGCUGGACGUACGCGUCAUGUCGUCGCCCGCUCUGGGCCCGUCUGUCGGCCUUCCCACCGUCCCAUUAGAUGCGCCCGCCCGACGAGGUCUGCAAAUCGGUUGUCUGCCUUUUUUAAUGUAAGUCAUGGACCGGCCAGUCCACACACCUUCACUUUUAUCGCUAUCUGCCUCCUCGAACCCCGACACCCAAACCAAAGCUCCGACCGUCGCUCGAACACCUCCCGUCGGCCGCCUCCUACCAUGGGAAUGUGGAAUUGGAUCCCCGGCAAGAAGGGGAAGCACGACUGGAGCACGAUCACGAGGAGAGGGAGGGCAUCGUCCGCGCGGAGCGCUGCCGCCCACUCCACCUUGCCGCCCGCCUUCACCAUCUCCCGCUGGCGGCCCCGCCUCGCGCCAGGCCUUAUGUGAAGGUCGACAUCUGCCAACGUGGCUAGGAGACAAGCACGUCGCCGCCGUGGAGCGACGUCCAUCUUUCGAACAACUGACACCUGAGCCCAGAUCUGGUGCCAGUGCCGCCAACCCCAGUGAGCAGCCGCGCCUGCAUGUUGGAGAUCAAUCGCUGCCGCGUCCGCCUUCCGCCGGACCUCCUCAACAGCGCCAGGUACACCGUCGAUUCCCCGCUCCGGGACACAUGGCUCUGGCACGAGCACGGCCUACGGCGGCAAACCUAUUUUGUCGGUCGUGCUCCAGCCAGCCACAUGCAUGCUUUGCCAGUCGCGCGUGCUCCAAGCCCGUCCUAGUCGCGCGCUCGUGCACAACUUUGCACAGGCACUCCACACCCUCUUCCUCACCCCCCCACCACCUCCCAUCAUGUUUGCCAAGGAGGAGGAGGAGCUGGUGAGAAGGGUGCUCGAGGACUCCGUCCGGGAGCACGCCUGCGCCCAGUGGGAGGGCCUUCACGAGAUGCUGGCACUGCCGGCCUGGCAACGUUGCCAUCCCCAAGCUGCAGGUCAAGGAGGAGGUGAAGGAGGAGUUGUUGUAGGAGCCCUCCCGGGAACCUGCCCUUGGUGGCGCGGUCCUGGUCGUGGACGGACACGAUGCCCUGCACACCAAAGUAUGUAUCUGUGUCGCACGUGUGGGUGGGCGCGGACACAUGGUCACCGCCCCCCUAGGGCUAGAAGUAGUGAAGGCGCCCCUUCCUGCGUUGACCUCCCCAUGGUGACGAAGAUGAGAACAACGGCGACUAGAUACGAAUACGGCCAUGGCGACGACGGCCAUCUAGUUUUUCUGCUUUUUUAAUUUUAAGUUUAGUUUGAAUGUGCGGUCAUGAGACUUUGUAGAGGUUUAAGUUUUAAUAUAUAUAAAUUUAAAUUACUUGCAAUGUAUUUUUUGGUCAAAAUUUUAAAGUCUAAAUGCAGACAAUAUUUUAAGAUGGCUGGUUGGCCACACCGACGGCCGGACGACAAAAACCAGACACAACUUACUGUUUUAUCGACCCAAACGGAUACAAAUCAAACAAAACGACAGUUCGUUUGCGUCCAUGCGUUGAAGUUAGAGCAACUCCAACGGUAGAGCAACUUCAACGGGCGAACCCAUUUCAUCUGCGCAUGUUUAUUUGAGUCUGCGCGGACAAAAAACACUACCCAACGCGCUGACCCAUUUUUAUUUUCUGUCCGCUUUAUGUCCGCGCGGACCCAUUUCAGACGCAAAUUUGGGUUGCAUUUAGGUCCAAGGCUGACACAAAGCGGGCGCUCUUUGCGUCCUCCUCAUCCGCUGCAUGCGAGGCUGGCCCACCUGGCAGACUCACCACCUCCCACCUCUCCUCCUUUUUCUCUGCCCAUCCCAGGAGGCCCUGUACACGCACGCCGGCAGCCGGCCUCGCCUCGCCUCCCCUCCCCCGCGCCCGACCGUCGCAGCUGCUCGAGCCGAAGCACCACAGUGCCCCGCGCCGCGCUCGCCCAGCUGCUCCUGGUCGCGCGCCCGGCGGUGCCUGCUUGGAUGUAACCGCCGGCGAAAUGGAGCUCCGCAUCCCCGGGCAGCAGGAAGAGGCCCGAGAGGGCCAGCAGCGUGGCGUCGAGCAGGACGAGGAGCGCGACCGCGGCCAACGCGGGGAUGCGCGGGUCGCUGUAGAGCGGGGGCACGGCGAGGCGCACGAGCAGACGCGGCACCGCGGCGAGCUGCGGGGGACGACGGGCGUGAGCGGGAGCGCGAGCGAGUGAGCGGGGCCACGGGAGCUCGUCCCUCUCCCCUUUGGUGCUCGUCUCCGCAGGCGACCCUCGUUCAGGCCGUCUAGCCGCUGCCAAUCCCGGUGCCUGCUACUUGUUCGACAAAAAUGUCAGGGUGAACAUGGCGAAAAUGCGUCAAGCCACCCGUUGAGCGUACAUGCAGACCCAAAUUAAAAAUUGAACGCGGACGUCCGUUCGACCGAUUCAAAGGGACAAAAAACAGGCGAAAUGCAUGUUUAUUUGGGUCGGUCCAUUGGAGUUGCUCUUAACCCCCAAGUGAUGAUGUCGCUCAUCGAUUUUCCCUACCUUCUGGCUGCUCUGCAUGCAUGCUGCAGACUUGCAGUCAGUUAAAAUAGGUGAUGGCGUACUUUUAUAUGACUUUCUUGCACAUCAGGGACUUUUUUUGCGCAGUCAAAGGCAACGACAUGUAAACGUCACAACGUUGGAGCUGUGACCAACCAUUUUUUGUCACGGCAUCUACAGUCAGAGUCAGGUUGGGCUAAUUCGAUUCCCGUAUAUGGGCUCCGGGCGGAUACAGAGCCAGUGGACGGGACAGAGUGAGAAAUACGCAGACGCUCGGCGGGAUUUUGGGUGCUACAAAUCAUGAAAAUGUCCUAAUCAUGCUUAUGUGGCAAACUUUACGAGCAAGUGAAAAUGUCCUAAUGUGAUACGUGAAAAUUACUGUAGUAUACUGUAUACAUAAUAACCAUGCUAAUGGUCUCCGAUUUUUGCCGGGGAGGGAGAAAAUCCUAGAGGUUAAAACAAAUUACUGCUGCACCUUAAGUAGAGUAAAACAUCAAACAGACUCACACAGAGGAUUGAACACCUGGGGCUUUGCGGCUCUUGGGGAUUGCGCCAAGACAACGCCUGCUCGUCUUUUUGAUACGCUCGAUGAGGUGACGAGGGGCAAGAAACUUUAAAAGCGAGCAUUAACCUUCUUGGUACUACCAGGGGAAGAACAUCGACCAGAGUUAAGUAAAAGGGUGCUUGGAUACAAGGGACUAUUUUUAGUCUGACUAAAAAUAGUCUUUUUUAGAGGCUAAAGUUCCAAGCACCCCUGACUAAAGAGAGGCUAGGACUAGUCUUGAGGCUAAAAUCUUUUAGUCAUGAGAAACCUACUAAAAUAUGUAUUAGCUCUCUCUCUCCUCAUUUAAUUCCUCUCCUUAGUUCUGGAUUGAAGGGUUUGGAGGAUAAUAAAUGCUCAAUAACUAGAUUUUAGUCUUUUUAGUAUUUGGAUCCAAGCAUGGGUGAGACUAGCAAGUUUUAGUCCCACUACUUUUAGUCAUGGGACUAAAACGUAGCUCUAAGUAACGGCAUCCAUCAGUUGGUCUAGGAAGUAGGGCAUGUACUCUAUACUCUGAAUCUGAAUUCUGAUGGAACAUGCAUUCAGAGUCCGUUUUCUAAACAAGCGAGCCUGCAUGAGGUGAGGUAUGGCGCAAGGCAUCUUCGUGCACGCAUGCUUGAUCAUGCAUGGUCAUUCAGGCCUACUAGUACUACUCCACUCUCACUCUGAGUAGCAGCCCGUCAGCUCCGAGGAAAGAAAAGAAAGAAACCAUACAAAAAGCCAAGGCCAUUGCCAAACCCAGACAACGACGUCUCCUUGCAGGCUCGCCCUCCUUCACUCAUUCACUGUCGACUCCCACUCCAAGCCGUCGACAGCACUCUCCAGAGACCGAGGCCAUGGCACGCCGGGCCAACCACACCGCCUCGCCCCCCAUGAACGCCACGGCGGCGACCAUGGUCAUCUCAUCUCCGCCCCUGCCCCACGCCACCGGCGACGCCUGGGGCCCCUACUCCAGCUCCCGGGCAUUCUUCUCCAACGUGGCCACCAUCCUCAUCAUCCUCGCCUGCGUCUCCCUCCUCGCUUUCUCCCUCCACGCCGCCGCCCGCUUCCUCCUCCGCCGCCUCGCCCGCCGCCGCGCCGCUCGUGCGCGGGCGCAGGCGCAGGGGCAGCCACAGCCGCCGAAGCCUCCGUCCGACGCCGCGGCCGCCGAAUUCUCUGUGGAGGCCGGCCCAGGGGCGGGCGUUCAGUUGGCCGGCGGAUGGGGCGACGCGGAAUGCGCCAUCUGCCUGUCGGAGCUGGCGGACGGCGAGCGCGUCCGCGUGCUCCCGGCGUGCGGCCACGGCUUCCACGGGGCCUGCGUGGACGGGUGGCUCGCGGCGCGCGCGUCCUGCCCCACCUGCCGCGCGCCGUCCCGGCUGUCGCGGGCCGGAGAGCCCUAGCCAAACCAGGCCGCUGUCACCUCCGGCGCUGGGUCGGUCAUGGAUCCAUCGUCACUCUGUCUGUACCGCCGACAAGAAGCGACAUCAAGUGCAUCACGGUGGGGGAGCUUGCCGGAGCUCAGCUCUGUCGUCGCGUGAUUUGUAAUCGAGUGCUUGUAGUACUACUCUUUGAUGGCGUCUGACAAUGCAAAUCGACUACAGCCGUCAGCUCGGACCAUAAUUCGCAAUCAUCCCUCUUGCGUUCUCAUCUCAUGUUAAACUUGCGUUGCAUCAUUAGAUUCAUCCGUCGGAUUCUUGCGCAUCCGUUCAUGAAUUGCAAUGUCGUUGGCUGUAGGCCUGCAAUUUUUGGCGUCCGAGCAGAGCAGGCUCGUCGUCAGUGACAAACUGACAAGGCAGCUCUGCUCUGGCUCGACGGAUUCCUUCCGGCGCUAGAGUGGAUACGAGACAAGAAUAGAAAAGCGGUAAAGCAGAGGAAGACGGAGUGAUAGAGUGUUGUAGGCUCCGUAGGGCGCUGCUGCGAGAAUAUUACUAGCGGUGGGGCUGCUUUGCGACCAUUGUGUAGAGGUUUGGUUGGGUUUUGGCGCGGCAGGUGGCAUCGGCGUUCGGCGGGUGGUCGCGGUGGAGCCGGUCUGAUUGGGGUGCGUUGGGCGUCGCAGUCGUCCCGUUGGGAGCAGUGCCAUUGGAGUAUUUGGCGCCAAGCACCAGGGCUCUCAACUUCUCCUCCGCCGACAGGACAAUAUGUUUUUGGUAUUCGCUGCCGCAAAGUCUGACGAAGCCAGUGUAGGCAAAAUUUUGUGUUUCGACUCUUUUAUGGUCUAAAUUCGGGAUCUGAUUCCUGUUUGAUUUCUUUUUUGUGAAAUCUGACUUUUUCUAUCGCCGGAGGGCGCGGCGGUAGGCUUAGCCUACCGCCACGGGCCUGGCGGUAGAAAACUAGUCCAUGUCAGCAGCGUAAAAUGACCGUCGUCCCCCUCCGUUGCCACCCUACCGCCGUUGGUCCUGGCGGUAGGGUGCCACGAACCCUGACGGCAUGGUGCGAACAGUUAUUUGGUGCGGCCGCCGGCCCACCCUCUUCUCUCCCUCACACCCACCCGCCCCAACCCCGAAGAACAGAGAGGAACUGCCUCUCUCGCUCCUCUCUCAUCUCCUCCACCUCCCCCUCUGAUUUUUUUUCGUUUCUUCAUCGUUUUUGCAGAUCGAGAUGACCCCCAAAAGAGAAAAAUAAGCUCAUUCGAUCCCUCUAAUUAGUUUUAGUCAAAUAGCUUCCGAUUCAUCGCAUUAUUUGAUUCAAAUUACUCCCCUUUUUGAAAUAGAUUUGAUUUUUUUGAACCUUAAGAUUGAUUAAGGUUGAUUCUAGAUGUUAUAUUGUGUUAGAUAUGAACUCUAGUGACUAGUUGGUAUGGUUGUGUGAAGAUGAACCCUAGUUCAUAUUUUUUGUGGAGGAUUGUUUGUAUAUGAUGCACGUUGGAGGAAUUUGUCGUGAUAUGAUGAUACAUGUUGAUAUGCUAUGAUGCAAGUAGUGGAUGUAGUUGGAAAAAAAAUGUUGAACCCUCAAGAUGAACCUUUAGUUCAUAAUUUUUUGUGUUAAAAAAACUUAUGAUAUGAUGAAUAUUGGAGCUAUUUGUUUUGACAUAGGAUGCAUGUGGAUGUUAUAUGAUGCGAGUAGUGGAUUUUAUUGGAGUAAAAAUGGUUAACCCCUCAACAUGAACCUUACUUCAUGGUUUUUGUUUUUGAAAAAAAAUAUGAUAUGAUGCAUGUUUGAUGUUGUUGGAGAAAUAUGAUAUGAUAUUAUGCAUUUGAACCUUGGUGAUUGCAUCUUGAUAUAUGUAUUUUAUUUAUUUUUUAAACUUUGGUGAUUGCAUCUUGAUAUGCUUAUUCAAAGAUUGAACUCAUAGGUUUUUUUGGAUGUGAUGAACCUUUGUAAUGCAUCUAUAUGUUUCCUAGUUCAUGAUGAAUCCUAGUUCAUGUUAAAAAUUCUUUUAAUAUGCUUAUGCUUAUGUUUAUGCAACUUUUUUAGGAGGCCACCUCUUGCGGACGACAUCGGCAUUAAGUACGCCAUGCUUGACACUAAGUUCGACAAGGGUCAUCAUGCCCGUUUCAUUGAGAAUGGAGUGGUAAUUACCAUUCUUAGACCAAAUCUUUCGAAUUGAUGAAAGCAAAUUGCUAACUAUUAUGUCUAUGCUAAUUAUGCUUUGGUUCUUGAUUUUCACAGAUGCUCCCGUCACUGCGAUGAGGGCUCACAAGACGAGCGUUAAGAUGGACUAUGACGAGCAGUACACACCGUUCUACAGCAGAGCCCGACUAUUGGGUUUCAUCCUGCAGUUCAAGCGUAAGCCGCCGAUGCUCGUCCACUCAGCUCUCACGACUUUGAUCAACCGGUGGCGGCCAGAGACGCACAACUUCCAUCUUCCAUGUGGGGAGAUUGAUACGUCUCCAACAUAUCUAUAAUUUUUGAUUGUUCCAUGCUAUUAUACUAUCUAUUUUGGAUGUUUAAUGGGCUUUAAUAAGCUAUUUUAUAUUAUUUUUGGGACUAACCUAUUAACCAAGGGCCUAGUGCCAGUUUCUGUUAUUUUUGCCUAUUUUAGAGUUUUGCAGAAAAGGAAUACCAAACGGAAUCCAAACGGAAUAAAACAUUCGCGAUGAUCUUUCUUGGACCAAAAGCAAACCAGAAGACUUGGAGAUGAAGUCGGAGAGGCAACGAGGCGGCCACGAGGUAGGAGGGCGCGCCCGGGGGGGUAGGCGUGCCCCCACCCUCAUGGGCCCCUCGUAGCUCCCCUGACCUAGUUCCUUCGCCUAUAUAUACUCUUAUACCCUGAAAAUAUUCGGGGAGCCACGAAACCACUUUUCCACCCCUGCAACCUUCUGUACCCGUGAGAUCCCAUCUUGGGGCCUUUCCGGCGAUCUGCCGGAGGGGGAUUCGAUCACGGAGGGCUUCUACAUCAACACCAUUACCUAUCCGAUUAAGCGUGAGUAGUUUACCACAGACCUUCGGGUCCAUAGUUAUUAGCUAGAUGGCUUCUUCUCUUUCUUUGAUUCUCAAUACAAAGUUCUUCUCGAUGUUCUUGGAGAUCUAUUUGAUGUAAUACUCUUUUGCGGUGUGUUUGCCGAGAUCCGAUGAAUUGUGGAUUUAUGAUCAAGAUUAUCUAUGAAUAUUAUUUGGUUCUUCUCUGAAUUCUUAUAUGCAUGAUUUGAUAUCUUUGCAAGUCUCUUUGAAUUAUCGGUUUAGUUUGGCUUACUAGAUUGAUCUUUCUUGCCAUGGGAGAAGUGCUUAGCUUUGUGUUCAAUCUUGCGGUGUCCUUUCCCAGUGAUAGUAGGGGCAGCAAGGCACGUAUUGUAUUGUUGCCAUCGAGGAUAACAAGAUGGGAUUUUCAUCAUAUUGCUUGAGUUAAUUCCUCAACAUCAUGUCAUCUUGCUUAAUGCGUUACUCCGUUCUUUAUGAACUUAAUAUUCUAGAUGCAUGCUGUAUAUCGGUCGAUGUGUGGAGUAAUAGUAGUAGAUGCAGGCAGAAGUCGGUCUACUUGACACGGACGUGAUGCCUAUGUUCAUGGUCAUUGCCUUAGAUGCCAUCAUAAUUAUGCACUUUUCUAUCAAUUGCUCGGCAGUAAUUUGUUCACCCACUGUAAUAAUACAUGCUAUCUCGAGAGAAGCCACUAGUGAAACCUAUGGCCCCCGGGUCUCUUUCCAUAUUAUUUAAUCUCGUUUACAUCUUGCUAGUUUCCGAUCUAUUAUUUUGCAAUCUUUACUUUCCAAUAUAUACAACCAACAAUACCAAAAAUAUUUACUUUACCGUUUAUCUAUCUCUAUCAGAUCUCACUUUUGUGAGUGACCAUGAAGGGAUUGACAACCCCUUUAUCGCGUUGGUUGCAAGUUCUUGAUUGUUUGUGCAGGUAUUCGGUGACUUGUAUGUCGUCUCCUACUGGAUUGAUACCUUGGUUCUCAAAAUUGAGGGAAAUACUUAUGCUACUUUGCUGCAUCACCCUUUCCUCUUCAAGGAAAAAUCAACGCAAGCUCAAGAGGUAGCAAGAAGGAUUUCUGGCGCCGUUGUCGGGGAGAUCUACGCCAACUCGAGCCAUACCAAGUACCCAUCAUAAACUCUUCUCCCUUACAUUAUAUUAUUCACCAUUCGCCUCUCGUUUUCCUCUCACCCACUUCUUAAACGAUUUUAGAAAACCUUUGCCUUUUCUUCGCCCCUCUUCCGUUCGUCUCUUUUUGCUUGCUUCUUGUGUGCUUGUGUGUUGGUGUGCCUGUUUGGUUUGAUGGCUCUGCCAAAAGCAUUGAUCCUCACCUUAGGAGGUUGGAAGAAAUUGAAAACAACGUUAGAAGUUUUAUGUCUUUGCAAUUCGAGCAUAAUAACUUCUUUAGAAACUAGCUUAAAGAACAAAAGAUUUUUAUGGAAUACAUGAAUAAAGAGCUCGAUGAUAUGUCUAAGGAAUUUUAUGGUUUGAAAUUUUAGUUUUCUCAUCUUGAAAAUCUAGUAGGCCAAAUUUCUGAUAAACAAGCCACCUUAGUUAAUAAGAUGGCCGGUAAACCGGAGGCUCUACAUAAUAAUAAUGAAGAUCUAAAAGUGAUUGAUGUAACUCCUAUUAAAUCUUUGUUUUCCAAUAUGAAUCUUGAUAAAGAUGGGACUGAAGAUGAGUAUCCUUUACUUAAAAGACGUCCCAAUGAUUCGGAGUUUUUAGAUCUAGAUGCAAAAAUUGAUAAAAGUGGGAUUGAAGAGGUCAAAACUUUAAGUAGCAAUGAACCCACUAUUUUGGAUUUCAAGGAAUUUAAUUAUGAUAAUUGCUCUUUGAUAGAUUGUAUUUCCUUGUUGCAAUCCGUGUUAAAUUUUCCUCAUGCUUGUAAUCAAAACAAAGCUUGUACUAAACAUAUCAUUGAUGCUAUGAUGCAAUCUUUUGAAGAAAAGCUUGAACUAGAAGUUGCAAUCCCUACAAAACUUUAUGAUGAGUGGGAACCUACUAUUAAGAUUAAGAUUAAAGAUUAUGAAUGUUAUGCUUUGUUUGAUGCUAUUUUUUCCAUGAUCCCAAAAAUUUUGUGUGAUGUGCUAGGUUUCCGUGAAUUUGAUGAUUGUUCUUUAAAUUUGCAUCUUGCGGAUUCCACCACUAAGAAACCUAUGGGAAGGAUUAAUGAUGUUCUUAUUGUUGCAAAUAGGAAUUAUGUGCCCGUAGAUUUCAUUGUUCUUGAUAUAGAUUGCAAUCCUACAUGUCCUAUUAUUCUUGGUAGACCUUUCCUUAGAACGAUUGGUGCAAUUAUUGAUAUGAAAGAAGGAAACAUUACAUUCCAAUUUCCGUUAAGGAAGGGCAUGGAACACUUUCCUAGGAAGAAAUAUAAAUUACCUUAUGAAUCUAUUAUGAGAGCCACUUAUGGAUUUCAUACCAAAGAUGGCAAUACCUAGAUCGUGUUUUUAUGCCUAGCUAGGGGCGUUAAACGAUAGCGCUUGUUGGGAGGCAACCCAAUUUUAUUUUUGUUCUUUACCUUUUCCUCUUGUUUAGUAAUAAAUAACUCAUCUAGCCUCUGGUUAGAUGUGGUUUUAUGUUUUAAUUAGUGUUUGUGCCAAGUAGAACCUUUGGGAAGACUUGGGUGAAGUCAAUGCGAUCUUGCUGUAAAAAAUAGAAACUUUUGCACUCACGAGAAUAGCUGUCAUUUUUUACAAAAGAGUGCUUUUGGGUUGAUUAUUUUUGCAGAAGAUUAAUAGAAAAAUUCCUCACGUCCACCAAUUUAUUUCAGAAUUUUUGGAGUUACAGAAGCAUUCGAAAGUUACAUAUUACAGCAGACUGUUCUGUUUUUGAUAGAUUCUGGUUUUCAUGUGUUGUGUGCUUAUUUUGAUGAAUCUAUGAGUAGUAUCGGGGGGUAUGAACCAUAGAGAAGUUGGAAUACAGUAGGUUUUUACACCAAUAUAAACAAAGAAUGAGUUAAUUAAAGUACCUUAGAGUAGAGAUUUAUUUUCUUAUACUAACGGAGCUCAUGAGGUUUUCUGUUGAAGUUUUGUGUUCUGAAGUUUUCAAUUUUUGUGUAAGGAUUUGAUGGAUUUUGGAAUAAGGAGUGGCAAUAGCCUAAGCUUGGGGAUGCCCAAGGCACCCCAAGGUAAAAUUUAAUUACAACAAAAAGCCUAAGCUUGGGGAUGCCGUGGAAGGCAUCCCCUCUUUCAUCUUCAUCUAUCGGUAACUUUACUUGAGGCUAUAUUUUUAUUCACCACAUGAUAUGUGUUUUGUUUGAUGCGUCUUGUAUGAUUUGAGUCUUUUUUUUAGUUUACCACAAUAAUCUUUGCUGUACACACCUUUUGGGAGACACACACACAUGAAUCGUGAUUUAGUAGAAUACUCUAUGUGCUUCACUUAUAUCUUUUGAGCUAGACAAUUUUGCUCUAGUACUUCACUUAUAUCUUUUUAGAGCACAGCGGUGGUUUUAUUUUCUAGAAAUUGUUGAUCUCUCAUGCUUCACUUAUAUUAUUUUGAGAGUCUUUUAGAACAUUAUGGUAAUUUUCUUUGGUUAUAAAAUUAGUCCUAAUAUGAUGGGCAUCCAAGAUGGGUAUAAUAAAAACUUUCAUAUAAAGUGCAUUGAAUACUAUGAGAAGUUUGAUUUUUUGUGAUUGUUUUGAGAUAUGAAGAUAGUGAUAUUAGAGUCAUGCCUAAUCGACGUACUUCUUUUGCCUAUAUAUACUCUUAUACCCUAGAAACAUCAGGGGGAGCCACGAAACCACUUUUCCACCGCCGCAACCUUCUGUACCUGCGAGAUCCUAUCUUGGGGCACUACAAAAAAAUAAACUUCCGUGAUGAUACAUGUUUGUCAUAGUAGGUCGCGUUUUUUGUCAUACAUGUACAUCCAUGACGAUUUUAUGACAGAAUCAAGAUAGUCAUACACGUGCUGUCGUAGAAGUGUUCCAUGACAUUACCAAAAUUAUCAUCACGGAAGUGUCCACUUCCAUGACGAUAAAUCGCGCGUCACAGAAGUGCUUUCGUCAAGGGUGACCGACACAUGGCAUCCACCAUAACGGAACGCCGUUAAGCUAUCGGGUCAGGUUUUGGAUCCAAUAACCCGUUAACAGCCCUGACCAAUAGGAAAUUUCCACGUGUAAAAUUCUUAUUGGCCGGACGAAACAUGUAUCAGCUCGUCAGUGGGUCAGAUAGGCGCCUAUGAUAUGUCGACACGUGCCACAACCCACCACUGGCCCAUUUAGCUUUCAAAGCCGGCCCGUUUGACUUGGUCAAAAGUUAACGGGCUGGCCCAUGAAAAGCCUGUUAACGGUCUCUUCGCAAAUAGCCCAUUUUAUGCCCCGGUAACUCACGGACCGUUAGGCCCUAAAGGAAAUCGGCCCAACAACGUCAUGUGGGCCGUCAAAUAUAACACCAACCCAUUUCACUUUCGGCCCAUGUAUGGCCCAUGACGUCUUUCGACCCAUAUGAGGCCUUCAUAUCUUUAGGCCCUUUAGAGGCCCACGGUGACUCUAGCCCAUAAUGAACAGUAAUGUUCUUUGUAACCGUUAACGGCCCGUGAUUCACAUGGGCCGUUUCCAGCCCAUGUAGCUUUCGUCCUAUUGACGGCCCAUACGUUCUUGGGCUCCUUUCCUGCCCUCGAUUACUUCCGGCCCGUUACUAGCCUGUUCCCCUAAUGGGCCAAAUUCGGCCCAUGGCAAGAGUCGGCCCGUUUCUAGCCUGUUAACCCGUUGCGCCAUUUCCAGCCCGUCCUAUAUUCUGGCCCAUUAACGACCCGUUAUGCCAGUGACAGAAUUAAGCCUUUGCUGUCCUCCGGCCUGUUAACGGCCCGUUACCGUGCUGGGUUGAUACCAAUUACGCCUGUUUAUGGCCCAUGUAGACCCAUUUAUCCGACGGCCCGAGGCCCACCGAUUCUACGACCCAGUUGGAGGCCCAUUUAUCGAUGUCCCGUAGGAGACCCAUGGAUCCUACGGCCCGUAUAUGGCCCAUGGUUGUUGCGGCCACUAGCAAAUCAGGGAAAAAGAAGACUAGGAAAUAAAUAAGGCCGAACCUAACACUAGUCUAUUAAGGCGAUUGCACAGAUUACAUCCACUCGGCAUCAAAGAUCGCCACCAGUGCAGAUAUAGGGAACACCCUACACUAUACAAAAAUGGCUUGUUGUUUUCUUCAACCGGUGGCUGCACGUUAAGACUAAAUUUUGAAUCACACCAAAACACAUUACAACUAUAUAACAAAAGGAAGGUUGGCAUAAAACUUAACAGUCUAGCAGAUAAAUGCACCACCAGAAGUUCAGAAGCUCAGUUCAUUUGACCUGACUGUUAUGUUUUCAUGUUGUAUUGUCUGAUGGAGCACCCUAACCCUUGCCUUCAUUUCUUCUCGGCUCCUGAACAACAUAGCAAAUGUCUGAUAGUCUGGUUUCAAAACCAUGCAUAUCUUGACGACAUCGAACAAUGUCUCUCCUUGUUUCACAAGGGGUCUCUGUUAGGGAAUAGACUUGUGUCUGGAGCGCAGAUACAACAUUGCUUUGAGCUUGCAUAUCUUGAUCAUGAGGCAGUUUGGACAAGAUUACCUUAACAACCAACCCAGUAUUACGCAGGAAUGUGCUUUUGGCACUGUUAGUGGACAGGUACUGACCCACUGCAGCAAGAGCUGACAUUGUGGUUAUAGUUGCCUCACCACCUUCUGAAGGUGGCGGUUCCACCAUUUUUCCAUAGCUCGCUGAAAAGUUGAGUUUUUACAUUAGUAGUACCAGAACAGAUGAUAUUAAGGAGGCAUCAAAACCAAAAAAAAUAGCUUUGGUCUAUAUACAGAACUUAUUCUGGUGAACCCAUGUAAAAUAUUAGUUGUAUUUUAUUGCAAAGUACAUAAUAAAACCAGGUUCCAAACAUAUGACCAUGUACCAUCGCUAAUGUAUUGUCUAUUUCUUCACAUUGUAUUGAGGGCUAAGGAUAAAGAGUCGAAGUUUAUAAUAUGGUGAGCAUAGUAUGACAUCAUUCAUAUCACAAAACAACUGAGAAUAGACAAACAGGCAAUUGUAACGUUGUGUGGGCAAGUCCAACACGGAACUAGAUUAUGGGUCAAGAUCAAAGGAACAUCACUCCUCUCUUUUAAACCUUGUAAGGUGCAAUGAUACGCUAAGACAAUUGUGUAUAAAAUUGAAAAGAGUAAUAGACAUUGGCUGCAAACCAUGCAGUUCAAGGCAUAAGUCAGAGUAAGUAGUAGUUAAAAGGCACGAGGAUUAAGGACUUACAAUAGCGGCUUUGACUGGUGUAGUCAUGCCCUUCUUCUUGCUGGUGUGACAGUCCUUGAAGAUUUCCACAGCAUUUGGUUCAGGUACUUUUUGGUCCUUGCGGGCUUUCCUCUACAUUUGAAGCAAGUCAAUAUAGAUCUGAUAACAUGGUACAGCAAAAAGAGUGAAACAACAGCUAAUUACAAGAGCCUCGCAGUGUGCAAUAUAGCUAUGAGAUCCUGUCAUCUGUUAUAGUUUCACUUUCAUACGGUUGGCCUUGUUCUUUGAACAGUUCACCUACAAGAAGAUAGAUUCGUGUGGCACAUGCGUAAAUAGGACUUCAACAUGUGAUAUGAUCACAUAUAUAUAUAAUGUACCUGAUACUUCGGAUCAGACCAGUGUUUAACGAGGCCCCUCCAGUCUUCAUCCGAUAUAUCUUCCACUUGAGAUGUUUGGGAAAGUUCACUGUUACCCUUGCCUUCAAAGUGAGUUUUUCUCAAGUUAUACUGAUACUGUCGCAGAGCAGACUUGAAAACAUGGGUGCAAGCUUGUCUGGUUGCAUCAUCUUGGCUAUCCAACUUGAACCUUAUCUGUUGAAAAUUAUGGGAGUCUCAUUAUCAGCAACCUAGAAAGUAUGGGACAGAGCAAGACGAUAUUACUAGUUUCCAUACAUAACCAUACUUAAAGAUAAAUGGUCGAGGAAGGUGUUGAACUGGGUUUCGUCUUUGUCAUUCCUGUACUGAAUCCAUGUUGGGAGGAUACGUACAUGACACCUAACGGCAACCGCUGCCUCUGAUACUAACUUGGCUGACUCUGUAGCAUCACGUGGCCUUUUUAAACCUGCCUCAAAACAGAUCUCCAUUCUUCCUCCUCUAGAUUUAGUUAACCUAUCAAGCAUUAUCCCUGAUGCUUGUUUCCUCCUGCGCCUAGGUGUUAGUACAACAACGAACAUAGGAAGUGUUAGUGUACAUCAAACUGUGAGAUUACAUAUAAAGAAGCAUGCAACUGUAACUUGACUCCAGCAACUACCUUCCUGUUGUUGAAGCUCACAAGGUUCAUCUGAUCUUGCCAACUCGUCUUGUGUCAAGAGUGCUUGGGAAGUAGUGUCAGGUGGCAAGGGAGCUUGGGAACGUGCUGCUAGCUCAGUUGACGCACGAGUAACUCGUGCAGCUGGCAGUACUAUGGUAGGUGUUGCAAGAACUAGGGUUGUCUCUGCUUGUUUGGUGGCAGCUAUUUGUUUCUGUUUGGCUUUUUUUGCAGCUCAUGUAGCAUGGGAUGCCGUGUUUGUAGAAUUUUCCGCUGGACUUUGACCUUCUAUUGCACCAUCAGUACCAGCAGAAUCUGCAUGAUUCAUCCGCUUCUCAUUCCCUGUCAUUAUGUGUUUCUUCAUCUUUCUCUGUGCCAUGUUAAGUCAAGCCGACAAGAAAAACGAAUAACAAUUUAGUUCUUCAGAACAAAUUGAUGCGUGAUGCAGACGAACUAAACUUUGAUGUUAGACAACCACAUGAUAGGAGGAUGUAAUAUGUACGAAAAACAGGAAGGAAGAGAUAACCAAAACUAUGAUGUGUAAACUAAGCAGAAGACAUUUCACCAAAUUAGAAGCAAUGCAAUGGAAGGUAGCACUACAAAAAAAAGACACAUCCGUGACAUCUUGGGCCGAACGAUUUUUUUUCUGUCAUACAUAUGACACUUCUAUGACGAUAAUUGUGACAAAACCCGAUAUCAUCAUAGAUGUGGCGGGCUCCUACUUCUAUGACAAAAAUCAUGACAGAAAAUGGGCUUUUCAUCCUGGGCGGGCCGGAGACGCAGCUGCAUGACAUUCUUUGGGCCGUCCAUGAUGGAAAAAACUAUGGUAGAAGCAAGGGGGAGGAAAAUUUCAGGGAGUUGCCGGUUACGGUGGGAGGUCGGGGGCCGAGCGAUGCGCGUUUCUCUCAUACACAUACGCGCGUGUGUGCGAGGCGUUGGCUCUAACUGAACCCGAGCGAGGCGUUGGGCUCUAACUGAACCCGAGCGAUUGCACUGCAGGCUACGCGUUACUGAACCCGAGCGAUCGAUCGAUGGCUGUUAACUGAACCCGAUCGAGCGAUUCCUUCGCUACUGCUACUAACUGAAGCCGAUCGAUUGGAUGAACNNNNNNNNNNNNNNNNNNNNNNNNNNNNNNNNNNNNNNNNNNNNNNNNNNNNNNNNNNNNNNNNNNNNNNNNNNNNNNNNNNNNNNNNNNNNNNNNNNNNNNNNNNNNNNNNNNNNNNNNNNNNNNNNNNNNNNNNNNNNNNNNNNNNNNNNNNNNNNNNNNNNNNNNNNNNNNNNNNNNNNNNNNNNNNNNNNNNNNNNNNNNNNNNNNNNNNNNNNNNNNNNNNNNNNNNNNNNNNNNNNNNNNNNNNNNNNNNNNNNNNNNNNNNNNNNNNNNNNNNNNNNNNNNNNNNNNNNNNNNNNNNNNNNNNNNNNNNNNNNNNNNNNNNNNNNNNNNNNNNNNNNNNNNNNNNNNNNNNNNNNNNNNNNNNNNNNNNNNNNNNNNNNNNNNNNNNNNNNNNNNNNNNNNNNNNNNNNNNNNNNNNNNNNNNNNNNNNNNNNNNNNNNNNNNNNNNNNNNNNNNNNNNNNNNNNNNNNNNNNNNNNNNNNNNNNNNNNNNNNNNNNNNNNNNNNNNNNNNNNNNNNNNNNNNNNNNNNNNNNNNNNNNNNNNNNNNNNNNNNNNNNNNNNNNNNNNNNNNNNNNNNNNNNNNNNNNNNNNNNNNNNNNNNNNNNNNNNNNNNNNNNNNNNNNNNNNNNNNNNNNNNNNNNNNNNNNNNNNNNNNNNNNNNNNNNNNNNNCAAGUCCGUUUCGUCCGUUUUGCGGUAUGCCACAUCCCUCCCGAUCAACAGGAGCCCUGUUUCGACCGUAGGAGGUCCAUUUCUUCCGUUUUGCGAUACGCCACACCCCUCCCGAUCAACAGGACCCCCCAUUUCGACUGUAGGAGGUCCAUUUCCUCCGUUUUGCGGUACGCCACACCCCUCCCGAUCAACAGGACCCCGUUCCGAACGUAGGAGGUCUGUUUCCUCCAUUGUGCGGUACGCCAGGCCUUGUUUCCAUCGCCUGUUCCGUCCAAGCCCUCCCGAUGAACACAACCACGCAUUCUGUUCCGACCCAGCCGGUUGGUUCCCAAUGAACACGACGACGAUGUUGUUUCUCCGUUCCGACCCAGCCAUGUACAUAUGCGCGAGUAGGCGUUCGAGACCCUGCCCGUAUGUACGUAUGUGGCCGUAUUUUCUUUCUUGCACCCUCACCGCUGUACGUACGUGUACAUGCUACGUGCGCGCCUCUACUACGACACGUGCGCGCCUCUACUACGACAUGUGCGCGCCUCUACAUCGACCAGUAUGUACGUACACGUUCGCGACCAGAAUGACAACGCUACUUACGCUUCGACCAGGUGGGUCCCGAAUGUCAGGCACUUCCUUGCCUGCGAAGAUGUAGCUGGUGGGUCCCAGUAGUCAGGGGGCGAAUCGUUUUUUUUGCCCGGACGCACUUCCUUACGUGUGAGGAUGUAGCUGGUGGGUCCCAGCAGUCAGGGGACGAAUCGUUUUUUUUUUGCCUGGACGCACUUCCUUGCGUGCGAAGAUGUAGCUGGUGGGUCCCAGCAGUCAGGGGGGGAACAUUUUUUUCGCGAAAUUCGGUGGCCCAUCGGUGGGUCCCCGCUGUCAAGUGGAGGAAUAAUUAUUUUGCGCGUAAUAAGGAGGCACUUCCUUGCCGCGGUCGUGGACCCAGCUGUCAGCGUCUCCACGCACAGUACUCUUCCGAUGGAAGUUGGUCGUUGACCACAUUGACCACGCUGCGCCGAGAGCACCACGGUGGUGGACGAUGGCGGGGCCUAGGAAGGGGACGACACGGAGGCAGGGAAGACUCGGCAGUUGUUUCCCACGUGGAGGGGAGUACGACUAUACGAGGGUUUACUGGUUCGUCUGCCGUCGCCGAAGAAUAACAGUAGGUGUGGGUGAGUAGAGAGAUGGCUAGGCCAGCGAUGGGAGUACAGUGGGGCGGUGAGGCCUGCGCGGCAGCACAGCCGGCUGCGGGGAGGCGGGAGCAGGUAGUCCCCCCGGCGCUUGUUUGAGCGGCUGGAGCAGGAAGAGCACAGAUUGAAGAAGCACGAUGGCCGUUGGAUGGACAUCCAACAAUCACUGCUUGUGCGUCAACCUUUUUUUUAGGAAAGCCUCAAAUCUGUGGAAAAUAGCAUAUAGCCCAUCUACCAUUAUUUCUAAUAAUUUACAGCCCAUUUGCUAAUUCUUAAGGUUUUUUUGGAGCCCAUAUUUUUUUUGUUAGCAUUACAGCGCACAUUGUGGCCACGGUUAAAAAAUUAUACGAAAUUUUGCAUAUUUCGGUGCGGUCCGAACAGUUUUUAAUCCCGAAAUUUCGACUCACAUUCAAACUGAUUUAAAAAAUAAAUGUAUAUCAAUAUAAAAUCCAACAAAUUCUCCAUGCAUAAAAAUUAAUGUAAUUUAAAAUCUUGAAAUGAAAAAAUAUAUUUGAAACUAAUUGCCAGUUUGAUGUGUUUUAAAAAUGUACAACCCAUUUCUCAUUACCGAUGGGCCAUUUUCUCGGCCAGCCGAAUGAAAGCUCUCCUCGUCUUGAAUGAUUUGCAUCCCAACAGGCCUGACAAAAAAACUGGGCUGUGGCCGUGGACCCAGUUGUCAGCCUCUCCACGUACAGUACUCUUCCGAUGGAAGUUGUUCCUUGACCACGUUGACCACACCGCGCGGAGAGCACCACGGCGGUGGACGAUGGCGAGGCCUAGGAAGGGGACGACACGACAGUGGAAGCCCGCGCGGAGAGGACUACGAGGGUUCACUGGUUCGGCUGCGAUGUGAGGCUGCCGUCGCCGUAGGGCCUGGCAAGCGGUGGGAAUAGUGGGGGGCGGUGAGGCCUCUGCGGCAGCAUAGCCGGCCACGGGAGGCAGGAGCAUGCGGCACAACCGGCGCUGCUUUGGGCGGCUAGAGCGAGAAGACCAGAGGUUGAAGAAGCACUACGGCCGUUGGAUGGACAUCGUACGGUCACUAGAGCUAGAAUCGUUCAUAUUCACUAAGUUGACAAAGGCCUUCGUCCCCGUCAACUUAGUAGGCCCACAAGUCAGCCUCCCACCAAGGUGGGUCCCAGAUAGCCGGGGGAGUAUUCCUUUUUUUGUGCGUAAUAAGGAGGCACUUCCGGUGGGUCCGAGCUGACAGCGGGGGGAACAUUUUUUUUGCGAAAUACGGUGGCCCGUCCAGUGGGUCCCAAUAGUCAGGGGGAAACGAUUUUUUUUGCAAAAUACUGGUGGCCCGUCCAGUGGGUCCCCGCUGUUAGGUGGAGGAAUAAUUAUUUUCCAUGUAAUAAGGAGGCACUUCCUUGCGGCUGACGUGGACCCAGCUGUCAGCCUCUCCACGUACAGUACUCUUCCGAUGGAAGUCGGUCAUUGACCACAUUGACCAUGCCGCGCCGAGAGCACCACGGCGGUGGACGACAGUGAGGCCUAGGAAGGGGACGACGUGGAGCCGGGCCAUGGGAGGCAGGAGCAAGCGGCACGACCGGCCCUGCUUUGGGCGGCUGGAGCAAGAAGACCAGAGGUUGAAGAAGCACUAUGGCCGUUGGAUGGACAUCAUAUGGUCACUGGAGUAUUGACUAAGUUGACAAAGCCCUCCGUCCCCGUCAACUUAGUAGGCCCACAAGUCAGCCCAACAAUAUGGUGGGUCCCAGCUAGCAGGGGGUAUUCAUUUUUUUGGGCGUAAUAAGGAGGCACUUCCUUGCAUGCGAAGAUAUAGCUGGUGGGUCCGACCUGUCAGCGGGGGGAACGUUUUUUUUUGCAAAAUACAGAGGCCCUUCCUGUGGGUCCUAGCUGUCAGGUGGAGGAAUCAUUAUUUUGCGCGUAAUAAGGAGGCAUUUCCUUGCGUGCGGCCGUGGACCCAGUUGUCAGCCUCUCCACGUACAGUCCACUUCCGAUGGAUGUCGUUCAUUGACCACGUUGACCAGGCCGCGCCGAGAGCACCAGGGCGGUGGACGACGGCGAGGCCUAGGAAGGGAACGACACGGAGCCAGGGAAUAGCCGGCAGUUGUUUCCCACGCGGAGGAGUGCGAGGGUUUACUGGUUCGUCUGCCGUCGCCGGAGAAUAACAACAUGUGUGGGUGAGUAGAGGGAUGGCUAGGCCAGCGAUGGGAGUACGGUGGGGCCGUGAGGCCUGCGCGACAGCAUAGCCGGCCGUGGGAGGAGGGAGCAGGCAGUCCCACUGGCGCUUGUUUGAACGGCUAGAGCAUGAAGAGCAGAGAUUGAAGAAGCACGACAGUCGUUGGAUGGACAUCCAACAGUCACUGCUCUCGUGUGUUGACUAAGUUGACAGGGCGUUGCGUGUGCGUCAACCUUUUUUUAUGAAAGCAUACGCGUCAACCUGUAGUAGGCGCACAAGUCAGCCUCAAAAAUGUGGAAAACAUCAUACAACCCAUCUGCCAUUAUUUCUAAUAAUGUACAUCCCAUUUGCUAAUUCUUAAGAAUUUUUCUGGAGCCCAUCUUCUUUUUGUUAGCAUUACACCCCAUAUUGUGGCCACGGUUAAAAAGUAUACAAAAUUUUGCAUAUUUCGGCGCAGUCAACUGUUUUUAAUCCAGAAAUAUCGAUUCACAUCCAAACUAUUUUGAAAAAUAAUUUAUAUAAAUAUACAAUCCAAAUAAUUGUCCACGCAUAAAAAUCAAUAGAAUUUAAGAUCUUCUAAUGAAAAAAAAUUGAAACUAAUUCCCGGUUUGAUGUGUUUUAAAAAUGUACAACCCAUUUCUGGGCAAACCGAAUGAAACACUCCUCGUCUUGAAAGAUUUGCAGCCCAGCAGGGCCAAUAAAGCAAGUAGGCCUUGUUUGGGUAUUUCUUUAAAAAAAUUAGAACUGGGCUAGCCAUUUUCAGCAAGAAAAAAACACAACUGGGCUCAUGAUGUGGUAAACAUAAAUAAAACCCUGGCUAGACGGGCCACAGCCCCCGCACAGCCCCGUCGUUACCCUGAUCCGUCGCUAAAACUAGUAUAAAUAACAACUGCUUGUUCCUCAAAAAAAAUUGCGCAACUUGCUGGGUCCCUGGUGUCAGCCGCUCGUAGUGUAAUUCUCUCGUUUAUUGACUAUGUUGACAAUGGCGUGAGCCCCAGAUGUCCAACCAUUAGGAGGAACCAUAUUUUUGGGCUUGUACUAUAGAGGCACUUGCUUGCGUACUACCAUGACGCUGGUGGGUCCCUACAGUCAUCCUCUCCAUGUAUAGUCAUCUCCUUGUUCCUCUCGGUUGUUGACGAUGUUGACAACACAAGAGGGCGGCACACCGCGCAUGGCGAGCGAACCAAGGCCACAAGGCGGAGGACGACGGCGAUGCCUUGGACGGAACGAACAGGAGCCGUUGAAGAUGCGCCGGUCUAGUCGCAGGCGGAGGGGAGUACAAGGGUUGACUGGUUCGGGCGCGGGUGCGUGUUGGGGCUAACGUCGCCAGAGAAUAACAUGACGUGUGGGGGAAUAGAGGGAGGGGCUGGCCAACGUUGGAGGGUACAUACGGUAGGAUGGCGGAGGCAUAGCCAGCCAUGGGAGGCGGGAGCAGGCGGAGCCGACGGGGUGGUUUGGUUUGGGCGGCUGGAGGAAGAAGAAGACAAGAGAUAGAAGAUACACGACAGAUGUUGGAUGUCAAUCCAACGGCUGGUAGGCAGAAUCGUUUGUUGACUGGCUAGUAAGUCGAUACCACCUUGGAUAGGCUAUUUCCUCGCGGUCCCAAAUUUCAGAAUCCAAAUCUGUCACGAUCAUGCAACCUUUCCUAUGAAAAUUACAGCCCAUUUGAUGUGCUAGUUUGAAAUAAGUUUGUGGGUGCUGGUGGGGGCUAAUCACUUGGCUUUUGUAAUGCACAGUGAGCUCAAGCAGCCGGCGAGAGUGAUGUUAUUCCCCUUGGUUGGGAUUUGUUACAAUAUUUCGCUCUAAAUUAAACAAAUGGCAAGCCAUUUACCUUGUUUCAAAGAAAAUAUGACAGUCAUAGCCGAGUUGAAAAGGGCAGGAACAUCUAACUCCAGCUUACAAACUGUACAAAAACACGAGGGUUAAUUGUUCAUCAGGUUUACAAAAAAACCCAGAUUGAAAAGGGCAACAACAUCUAACUCCAGCACUGUUUUUGGCAGUCACAGUUAAAUGGAUCGGUCAGGUCCAUAGAAUGAACAUCCUGGGUCGUAAAAUUUACUGGAUUAUGACCACAAUAUGUUGUAAAUAGAAGACCGGCACAUUCAGAAGCUCUUUUGCCCACCUGAAACUCCUUUUUUUGCUCUUCGACAUACCCAUCUGUCAAAACCAUGCUGCUAAUAAACUUAAGCCUGAUGGACAAUAGUAACCUCGCAUUCAGUAGGAAGAAUGUGACAAAUCUUGUGUUUGCACGGUUGGCUACAUAUUGUUCUAGCGUUAUUUUCUUCAAUCGAAUCUUAUGAGAAGUGAGAAAAUCCUGAUGCUCACGAAUCCACCGAUUGGUUAUAACUUUCUUACCCCAUCCUGUUGCCUAAAUAGAUAUGAAGAUUGAAAAUAGUUAAGGUCUAAAAGAAGAGUGUUGAAAGAGCAACAGCUGAACGGUUAAUUCUAGUACACUAUAUGCGGGCUUCCAAUGUGUGUGAAAUUAUCACCUUUAUAUACAACUUCUCCAGACAUGGAAAGCAUUGGAGCAAGCCAAUAAUCUUGUUCAGAUCAAAACUCUUCAUUUGGAUAUAUAAGAUCUUGACAGAAUCCAGCACCAUUGAUAGGCCAUUCGUGGAGAAACUCUUCAUUGAGCAUAGAACAUAAUAUUAGUACAAAAUGUGUACUCCAAGAUGAUAUAUAAAUUAUGCGCAGAAAUUUAAAAUGCAGCUUAUGGUUACAAGUGUAGAUGAUAAUAUAAAGUACCUGAAGAACUGUGGAGCCAAACACCAUAUUGAAAUGAGCACAGAGAUCAUGUAUUACACCCAAGGUCUCCAGUUUAGGCGCAGAGAGGACGGUUAUUUGCAAAGGUGAAUAACUAGAAUCAAGGAUCAACCUUUGAAGUGAAGGGGCAUCUUGGAUGAUGAGCUGCCUUCCGUCAAAAGAAAUUCCAAUUCUUACAAGGUUUGGCUGUUGGAAAUAUGCCCUAGAGGCAAUAAUAAAUUAGUUAUUAUUAUUAUUUCCUUGUUCAUGAUAAUCGUUUAUUAUCCAUGCUAUAAUUGUAUUGAUAGGAAACUCAGAUACAUGUGUGGGUACAUAGACAACACCAUGUCCCUAGUAAGACUCUAGUUGACUAGCUCGUUGAUCAAUAGAUGGUUACGAUUUCCUGACCAUGGACAUUGGAUGUCGUUGAUAACGGGAUCACAUCAUUAGGAGAAUGAUGUGAUGGACAAGACCCAAUCCUAAGCCUAGCACAAAGAUCGUGUAGUUCGUAUGCUAGAGCUUUUCUAAUGUCAAGUAUCAUUUCCUUGGACCAUGAGAUUGUGCAACUCCCGGAUACCGUAGGAAUGCUUUGGGUGUACCAAAUGUCACAACGUAACUGGGUGGCUAUAAAGGUGCACUACAGGUAUCUCCGAAAGUGUCUGUUGGGUUGGCACGAAUCGAGACUGGGAUUUGUCACUGCGGUUGACGGAGAGGUAUCUCUGGGCCCACUCGGUAGGACAUCAUCAUAAUGUGCACAAUGUGACCAAGGGGUUGAUCACGGGAUGAUGUGUUACGGAACGAGUAAAGAGACUUGCCGGUAACGAGAUUGAACAAGGUAUCGGGAUACCGACGAUCGAAACACGGGCAAGUACAAUACCGCUAGACAAAGGGAAUUGUAUACGUGAUUGAUUGAUUCCUCGACAUCGUGGUUCAUCUGAUGAGAUCAUCGUGGAACAUGUGGAAGACAACAUGGGUAUCCAGAUCCCGCUGUUGGUUAUUGACCGGAGAACGUCUCGGUCAUGUCUGCAUGGUUCCCGAACCCGUAGGGUCUACACACUUAAGGUUCGAUGACGCUAGGGUUAUAGGGAAUAGAUAUACAUGGUUAACGAAUGUUGUUUGGAGUCCCGGAUGAGAUCCCGGACGUCACAAGAAGUUCCAAAAUGGUCCGGAGGUAAAGAUUUAUAUAUGGAAAGUUGUUGUUCGGGUUCCGGGAAAAGUUUGGUUUUUUUUCGGUAUUGUACCGGGAAGCUUCCAGAAGGUUCCGGAGGAUUCCAGAGGUCUGGAAAAUGUUCCACCACGUCCAAUACAGCAGCAUGGGCUGUAAGGGGGCGCCCUAGCCUUAAUGGGCCAGGGGCACCAGCCCCCCAAGGCCCAUGCGCAUGGGAGAGGGGAAACCCUAAAGGGGAGGGCCUCCACUUGACUUGGAAGGCACUCCUCCCCCCUUGACCGCCGCCCCCAACCCUAGAUGGGAUCUAAGGGGGCCGACCCCCCUCUCCCACCUAUAAAUAGUGGAGGGGUGGGAGGGCAGCCGCACCCCAAGUUCUGGCGCAGCCCUCCCCCUCUCCCAAGUCCUUCUCCUCUCCCGCGGUGCUUGGCGAAGCCCUGCUGGAUUACCACACUCCUCCAUCACCACCAGGCUGUUGUGCUGCUUCUGGAUGGAGUCUUCGUCAACCUCUCCCUCUCUCCUUGCUGGAUCAAGGCAUGGGAGACGUCACCGGGCUGUACGUGUGUUGAACGCAGAGGUGCCGUCCGUUCGGCACUAGGAUCUCCGGUGAUUUGGAUCACGACGAGUACGACUCCUUCAACCCCGUUCUCUUGAACGCUUCCGCUUAGAGAUCUACAAGGGUAUGUAGAUGCACUACCCUCUCUCUCAUUGCUAGUUUCUCCAUAGAUAGAUCUUGGUGACUCGUAGGAAAAUUUUGAAUUUCUGCUACGUUCCCCAACAGUGGCAUCAUGAGCUAGGUCUAUUGCGUAGAUUCUUGCACGAGUAGAACACAAAGUAGUUGUGGGCGUUGAUUUUGUUCAAUAUGCUUACCGUUACUAGCCCAAUCUUGAUUCGGCGGCAUUGUGGGAUGAAGCGGCCCGAGCCGACCUUACACGUACACUUACGUGAGACAUGUUCCACCGACUGACAUGCACUUGUUGCAUAAGGUGGCUAGCGGGUGCCAGUCUCUCCCACUUCAGUCGGAUUGGAUUCGAUGAAAAGGGUCCUUAUGAAGGGUAAAUAGCAAUUGACAUAUCAUGUUGUGGUUUUUGCAUAGGUAAGAAACGUUCUUGCUAGAAACCCAUAGCAGCCACGUAAAACAUGCUAACAACAAUUAGAGGACGUCUAACUUGUUUUUGCAGGGUAUGCUAUGUGAUGUGAUAUGGCCAAAAAGAAUGUGAUGAAUGAUAUGUGAUGUAUGAGAUUUAUCAUGUUCUUGUAAUAGGAAUCACGACUUGCAUGUCGAUGAGUAUGACAACCGGUAGGAGCCAUAGGAGUUGUCUUUAUUUAUUGUAUGACCUGCGUGUCAUUGAACAACUCCAUGUAAUUACUUUACUUUAUUGCUAACCGGUAGCCAUAGUAGUAGAAGUAAUGAGUUGGCGAGACAACUUCAUGGAGACACGAUGAUGGAGAUCAUGAUGAUGGAGAUGAUGGUGUCAUGCCGGUGACGAUGAUGAUCAUGGAGCCCCGAAGAUGGAGAUCAAAAGGAGCAAAAUGAUAUUGGCCAUAUCAUGUCACUAUUUUGAUUGCAUGUGAUGUUUAUCAUGUUUAUGCAUCUUAUUUGCUUAGAAUGACGGUAGUAAAUAAGAUGAUCCCUCAUUAAAAUUUCAAGAAACUGUUCCCCCUAACUAUGCACCGUUGCGAAAGUUCGUUGUUUCGAAGCACCACGUGAUGAUCGGGUGUGAUAGAUUCUAACGUUCACAUACAACGGGUGUAAGCCAGAUUUACACACGCAAAACACUUAGGUUAACUUGACGAGCCUAGCAUGUACAGACAUGGCCUCGGAACACAGGAAACCAAAAGGUCGAGCAUGAGUCAUAUAGUAGAUAUGAUCCACAUGAAGAUGUUCACCGAUGGUGACUAGUCCGUCUCACGUGAUGAUUGGACACGGCCUAGUUGACUCGGAUCAUGUAAUCACUUAGAUGACUAGAGGGAUGUCUAUCUAAGUGGGAGUUCAUAAGAUGAACUUAAUUAUCCUGAACAUAGUCAAAAGGUUUUUUGCAAAUUAUGUCAUUGCUCACGCUUUAGUUCUACUAUUUUAGAUAUGUUCCUAGAGAAAAUAUAGUUGAAAGUUGACAGUAGCAAUUAUGCGGACAAUAGAAGGCUUAUGUCCUUAAAUGCACCGCUCGGUGUGCUGGACCUCGAACGUGGUCUAUGGAUGUUGCGAACAUCUGACAUACACGUUUUGAUGACUACAUGAUAGUUCGGUAAUGUUAAAUGGUUUAGAAUUGAGGCACCGAAGACAUUUUUGAAAUGUCGCAGAACAUAUGAGAUGUUCCAAGAGCUGAAAUUGGGAUUUCAGGCUCGUGCCCACGUCAAGAGGUAUGAGACCUCCGACGAGUUUUCUAGCCUACAAGCUGAGGGAGAAGAUCUCAAUCGUUGAGCUUGUACUCAGAUUGUCUGGGUACGACAAUCACUUGAAUCGAGUGGGAGUUAAUCUUCCAGAUGAGAUAGUGAUGUUUCUCCAAAGACAUUGCCACCAAGCUACUAGAGCUUCGUGAUGAACUAUAACUUAACAGGGAUAGAUAUGAUGAUCCUUGAGCUAUUCGCGAUGUUCGACACCGCGAAAGUAGAAAUCAAGAAGGAGCAUCAAUUGUUGAUGGUUAGUGAGACCACUAGUUUCAAGAAGGGCAAGGGCAAGAAGGGAUACUUCAUGAAACGGCAAAUCAGCUGCUGCUCUAGUGAAGAAACCCAAGGUUGAACCCAAACCCGAUACUAAGUGCUUCUGUAAUAAGGGGAACAUCCACUAGAGCAGAAUUACCCUAGAUACUUGGUAGAUGAGAAGGCUGGCAAGGUCGAUAGAAGUAUAUUAGAUAUACAUUAUGUUAAUGUGUACUUUACUAGUACUCCUAGUAGCACCAGGGUAUUAGAUACCGGUUCGGUUGCUAAGUGUUAGUAACUCGAAAUAAAAGCUACGGAAUAAACGGAGACUAGCUAAAGGUGAGCUGACGAUAUGUGUUGGAAGUGUUUCCAAGGUUGAUGUGAUCAAGCAUCGCACACUCCCUCUACCAUCGAGAUUUGGUGUUAGCGUUGAGCAUAGACAUGAUUGGAUUAUGUCUAUCACAGUACGGUUAUUCAUUUAAGGAGAAUAAUGGUUACUCUAUUUAUUUGAAUAAUACCUUCAAUGGUCUUGCACCUAAAAAGAAUGGUUUAUUAAAUCUCGAUCGUAGUGAUGCACAUUUUCAUGCCAAAAGAUGAUAGUAAUGAUAGUACCACUUACUUGUGGCACUGCCAUGUAAGUCAUAUUGGUGUAAAACGCAUGAAGAAGCUCCAUGUUGAUGGAUCUUUGGAGUCACUCGUUUUUGAAAAGUUUGAGACAUGUGAACCAUGUCUAUUGGUGUAUACGCAUGAAGAAACUCCAUGCAGAUGGGUCAUUUGGACUCACUUGAUUUUGAAUCACUUGAGAUAUGCAAAUCAUACCACUUGGGCAAGAUGACUGAAAAGCCUCGUUUUCAGUAAGAUGGAACAAGGUAGCAACUUGUUGGAAGUAACACAUUUUGAUGUGUGCAGUCCAAUGAAUACUGAGGCAUGCGGUGAAUAUCGUUAUGUUCUUACUUCACAGAUGAUUCGAGUAGAUGUUGAGUAUAUUUACUUGAUGAAACACAAGUCUGAAUUAUUGAAUGGUUCAAGUAAUUUCAGAGUGAAGUUGAAGAUCAUUGUGACAAGAGGAUAAAAUGUCUAUGUUAUGAUCAUAGAGAUGAGUAUCUGAGUUACGAGCUUUGGCACGCAAUUAAGAUGUUGUGGAAAUUGUUUCACAAUUAAUACCGCCUGGAACACCAUAGUGUGAUGGUGUGUCCGAACAUCAUAGUUGCACCCUAUUGGAUAUGGUGCGUACCAUGAUGUCUCUUAUCGAAUUACCACUAUCGUUCAUGGGUUAGGCAUUAGAGACAACCGCACUCACUUUAAUAGGGCACCACGUAAUUCCGUUGAGACGACACCGUUUGAACUAUGGUUUGGAGAAACCUAAGUUGUCGUUUCUUAAAAGUUUGGGGCUGCGACUCUUAUGUGAAAAAGUUUCAGGUUGAUAAGCUCGAACCCAAAGCGGAUAAAAAGCAUCUUCAUAGGAUACCCAAAAACAGUUGGGUAUACCUCCUAUCUCAGAUCCGGAAGCAAAAGUAAUUGUUUCUAGAAACGGGUCCUUUCUCGAGGAAAAGUUUCUCUCGAAAGAAUUGAGUGGGAGGAUGAUGGAGACUUGAUGAGGUUAUUGAACCAUCACUUCAACCAGUGUGUAGUAGGGCACAGGAAGUUGUUCAUGUGGCACCUACACCAAUUGAAGUGGAAGCUGAUGAUAGUGAUCAUGAUGCUUCAGAUCAAGUCACUACCGAACCUCGUAGGUCGACAAGGACGCAUACUACUUAAGAGUGGUACGCAAUCCUGUCUUAGAGGUCAUGUUGCUAGACAAUAAUGAACCUACGGGCUAUGGAGAAGCGAUGGUGUGCCCGUAUUCCGACGAAUGUCUCGAGGCCAUAAAAUUUGAGAGAGGAUCCAUGACUUUGGAAGAAGUACUUGAUGGUCGUAAGCCUGUUGGGUACAGAUGGAUUUUAAGAGUAAGACAGACAAUGAUGGUAAGUAUCACCAUUAAGAAAGCUCGACUUCUCGUUAAGAUGUUUUCCGACAAGUUCAAGGAGUUGACAACGAUGAGACUUUCUCACUCGUAGCGAUGCUAAGAGUCUGUUGGAAUUAUAUUAGCAAUUACUGCAUGAUUUAUGAAAUCUUGCAGAUAGGAUGUCAAAACAUUGUUUCCUCGACAAUAUCCUUGAGGAAAGGUUGUAUGUAAUACAAUCGGAAGGUUUUGUCAAUCCUGAAAGACGCUAACAAGUAUGCAAAGCUCCAGCAAUCCUUCUAAGGACUGGAGUAAGCAUAUCGGAGUUGGAAUGUACGCUUUGAUGAGAUAAUCAAAGAUUUUGGGUUUAUACAAAGUUUAUGAGAAACUUGUAUUUCCAAAGAAGUGAGUGGGAGCACUAUAGAAUUUCUGAUGAGUAUAUGUUGUUGACAUAUUGUUGAUCGGAAAUGAUGUAGAAUUUCUGGAAAGCAUAUAGGGUUGUUUGAAAGGUGUUUUUCAAUAGAAAACCUGGAUUAAGCUGCUUGAACAUUGAGCAUCAAGAUCUAUGAGGAUAGAACAAAAACCGCUAAAUGGUAUUUUCAAAUGAGCAGAUACCUUGACAUGAUCUUGAAGGUGUUCAAGAUGGAUUAGUCAAAGAAGGAGUUCUUGCCCGAGUUGUAAGGUGUGAAGUUAAGAGUUAAAGCUCGACCACGGCAGAAGAGAGAGAAAGGACGAAGGUCGUCCCCUAUGCUUCAGACGUAGGCUCUAUAAUAUGCUAUGCUGUGUACCGCACCGGAAGUGUGCCUUGCCAUGAGUCAGUCAAGGGGUACAAGAAUGAUCCCGGAAUGGAUCAUUGGACAUCGGUCAAAAUUGUCCUUGGAGUAAAUAAGGACAUGUUUCUCGAUUAUGGAGGUGAUAAAGAGUUCGACGUAAAUGGUUACGUCGAUGCAAGCUUUAACACCUAUCCGAAUGACUCUGAGUAGCAAACCGGAUACGUAUAGUGGAGCAACCAUUUGGAAUAGCUCCAAGUGGAGCAUGGAAGCAACAUUUACAAUAUGACCUAGAGAUUUGCAAAAUACAUACAGAUCAGAAUGUUGCAGACCCGUUGACUAAAACCUCUCUCACAAGAAAAACAUGAUCAAACCCCAGAACUCAUUGAGUCUUAAUCACAUGGUGAUGUGAACUAGUUUAGUGACACUAGUAAACUCUUUGGAUGUUGGUCACAUGGCGAUGUGACCUAUCAGUGUUAAUCAUAUGGCAAUGUGAACUAGAUUAUUGACUCUAGUGCAAGUGGGAGACUGUUGGAAAUAUGCCCUAGAGGCAAUAAUAAAUUAGUUAUUAUUAUUAUAUUUCCUUGUUCAUGAUAAUCGUUUAUUAUCCAUGCUAUAAUUGUAUUGAUAGGAAACUCAGAUACAUGUGUGGGUACAUAGACAACACCAUGUCCCCAGUAAGCCUCUAGUUGACUAGCUCGUUGAUCAAUAGAUGUUACGGUUUCCUGACCAUGGACAUUGGAUGUCGUUGAUAACGGGAUCACAUCAUUAGGAGAAUGAUGUGAUGGACAAGACCCAAUCCUAAGCCUAGCACAAAGAUCGUGUAGUUCGUAUGCUAGAGCUUUUCUAAUGUCAAGUAUCAUUUCCUUGGACCAUGAGAUUGUGCAACUCCCGGAUACCGUAGGAAUGCUUUGGGUGUACCAAACGUCACAACGUAACUGGGUGGCUAUAAAGGUGCACUACAGGUAUCUCCGAAAGUGUCUGUUGGGUUGGCACGAAUCGAGACUGAGAUUUGUCACUCCGGUUGACGGAGAGGUAUCUAUGGGCCCACUCGGUAGGACAUCAUCAUAAUGUGCACAAUGUGACCAAGGGUUUAAUCACUGGAUGAUGUGAUACAGAACGAGUAAAGAGACUUGCCGGUAAUGAGAUUGAACAAGGUAUCGGGAUACCGAUGAUUGAAUCUCGGUCAAGUACAAUACCGCUAGACAAAGGGAAUUGUAUACGUGAUUGAUUGAUUCCUCGACAUCAUGGUUCAUCUGAUGAGAUCAUCGUGGAACAUGUGGGAGCCAACAUGGGUAUCCAGAUCCCGCUGUUGGUUAUUGACCAGAGAACGUCUCGGUCAUGUCUGCAUGGUUCCCGAACCCGUAGGGUCUACACACUUAAGGUUCGAUGACGCUAGGGUUAUAGGGAAUAGAUAUACGUGGUUAUCGAAUGUUGUUCGGAGUCCCGGAUGAGAUCCCGGACGUCACAAGAAGUUUCGGAAUGGUCCGGAGGUAAAGAUUUAUAUAUGGAAAGUUGUUGUUCGGGUUCCGGGAAAAGUUUGGUUUUUUUCGGUAUUGUACCGGGAAGCUUCCAGAAGGUUCCGGAGGAUUCCGGAGGGGUCCGGAGGUUCGGAAAAUGUUCCACCACGUCCAAUACAGCAGCAUGGGAUGUAAGGGGGCGCCCUAGCCUUAAUGGGCCAGGGGCACCAGCCCCCCAAGGUCCAUGCGCAUGGGAGAGGGGAAACCCUAAAGGGGAGGGCCUCCACUUGACUUGGGAGGCACUCCUCCCCCCCUUGGCCGCCGCCCCCAACCCUAGAUGGGAUCUAAGGGGGCCGGACCCCCUCUCUCCCACCUAUAAAUAGUGGAGGGGUGGGAGGGCAGCCGCACCCCAAGUUCCAGCGCAGCCCUCCCCCUCUCCCAAGUCCUUCUCCUCUCCCGCGGUGCUUGGCGAAGCCCUGCUGGAUUACCACGCUCCUCCAUCACCACCAGGCCGUUGUGCUGCUACUGGAUGGAGUCUUCCUCAACCUCUCCCUCUCUCCUUGCUGGAUCAAGGCAUGAGAGACGUCACCGGGCUGUACGUGUGUUGAACGCGGAGGUGCCGUCCGUUCGGCACUAGGAUCUCCGGUGAUUUGGAUCACGACGAGUACGACUCCUUCAACCCCGUUCUCUUGAACUCUUCCGCUUAGUGAUCUACAAGGGUAUGUAGAUGCACUCUCCUCUCUCUCGUUGCUAGUUUCUCCAUAGAUAGAUCUUGGUGACUCAUAGGAAAAUUUUGAAUUUCUGCUACGUUCCCAACAUAGGCGACUUUAUUUUGAGACAACCGAUUGUAACUGUGAAAACAAGCACCAAGCACUCCAGCGCAGGGCAACUAGAGUGGAUGAUGUUGUGCAAUGAGGCCUCCGAUACGAACCUGCACAAGUGAAAGUUUCUUGAGAAAUGGGAGUCGAAGGUUUAGUACCAGAUUGUCUGGUAGGUAGCACAACGCAAAGGUGGCGGUGUGGAGAGAGGAGGAAAACCGCGAGAUGGACAUCGGUGCUGAGGGCACAAGUUCAUGGCGUUCGGUAUGUGGUAUGUGAUUUCCAGGGGAAUAGUAGAACUCAAGCAGCUGUAGUUCUGUGAAUUCAGGGGAGCCAGGCGUCCACCAUGCAGGGCAUGGUAUGCUUGCUCAGGUAGCAUGACAGGAUGCAGAGGCUUUGAAUGGAGCCCUGGUGGGAGGAGAUGAUGGCUCUGGGGAUUUCAAAAUCAUUGAAGAGAGAUAGCUGACGAUAGUCGAGAUUAAGGUGCACGGCGCGCCAUAGAGGGCACCACCGAAUUGAGAGGACUUGGGUGCGGCAACAAUCCUUGGUGGGGAGAAGCGAGAUGAUCUCCCCAAGGACGGUGUCCGGGAGAUCGCUGAUGCGGUCCACCCGAGAUUCUACGGGUUCCUAGGAUCCGGUGGGGCGGCGUCGCUGCUUCUCCCUGCACUGCCGGGUGUGGGAUCUACAAUAGGUGUCGCCGCUGGCGGGAGCCUCAUCUUCUUGGCACUGGGGUCAGCCGACUCUAUUUUCCUCGAGGGCGUCGCGUCGCGCACACGGAUUUGAGCAGAGUAACGAAUGAAGAGCCUAGUUGUAGUGCGAGCGAAGAAGAAGGGGAGCUAGGGGUUUUCUGUAGGAGUGAGGAAGAAGGGGAGCUGGGGUUUUCUNNNNNNNNNNNNNNNNNNNNNNNNNNNNNNNNNNNNNNNNNNNNNNNNNNNNNNNNNNNNNNNNNNNNNNNNNNNNNNNNNNNNNNNNNNNNNNNNNNNNNNNNNNNNNNNNNNNNNNNNNNNNNNNNNNNNNNNNNNNNNNNNNNNNNNNNNNNNNNNNNNNNNNNNNNNNNNNNNNNNNNNNNNNNNNNNNNNNNNNNNNNNNNNNNNNNNNNNNNNNNNNNNNNNNNNNNNNNNNNNNNGGUGUGCUUGGUGUGGGUAGCGCCUUUUGAAUUGAUUUUACUAUUUACUAGUGUGGAUUGGCUGUUUUGUCUUGGGCCCAGAGAAACAAUUACUACUAGUACAGUGGAGACAAUCUACAGCUACCCAGAAAAACCAUUACUACUAGUACAGUGGAGACACUCUACCGCUUCUGGCUCCUCCUAGGUCAUUGAAAUGUCUCCCUCUACUGAAUGCCGUUAUACUUUUGUUCACCGACAUGCGGGCCAUGCAGCGCGCGGGCCCAAAUGCCAUCCACCAAAUUAGAAGGCAGUAUGCAGGCAGAGAGUCACCCCGGUCGUAGCACGGCAGUAACGAGCCGUCGUAUCACAAAACCCCACCUCCCCACAGUCUAAGUUUGACGAACGAAGCAACCAUCAUUUCACUCUUCGCGGAGUCCCCUUCUCCCUCACCGUCUUCAAGAAAGGCAACACUCGCAUCUGCCACUUUUCUUCUCUCCCAACGAAGGGAAGGUAAGCGGAUCCGUAAUGUUGGUAUAUUUUCGUCCAGAGAAAAAAAAGAACUUUCGCAAAGCAGUAACCGAUCCUCACUCUCUUUUUUGUUUCAUUGUCAUUGCGAUUGUGUUUUCCUUUCAGUGGUCUCCUAGCAUUCUUCAAUUUCAUGAUGGACCAAGGAGAACCAGGCAAAGAUCUGCCGAUAUUGGAGCAGAUGCGGGAGGUUGAUCCCUAUGAGACAGAGAGCUCCAAGAAGAUGGAGGCAACCACCGAGCCGACCCCAGAUACGCUCACGGCCACUACUGAGAUGGUCAACGCCCCGCUUGAGGUUAAAACCCCUGUGGCACUGUAGGAGCAGUUUUCCCCCUUCGAGGAUGUGUCCCCCCCACCCCGCUGAGCUGCCCAAGGUGAUUUCCUUCUUUGCCGAUCUCGAUUGUGGUUUUUCAUCUAAGUAUGUGGUGAUUUUUUUUAGAAAAGGAAGUAUGUGGUGAUUAAUAAUGCAAAAUUUUAUUAGCUUCGAUGCCAUGCUAUACAUAGUGGCUUAAAUAACUUGUGUUUCUUAUACUGAAAAGUAAUUCAGAAUUUGUUUCUGUUUCAAUUAGAGCCCUGAUGCAGACAAGGAUUGUGUGGUUGUGCAUGUCACUCGCUAUGAGGCGGACGACCUGAAUAUACGCACUGGGAAAACAGAGUUCUUAGGCUGUUGGAUCCUGGAAGCCAUUUGCGGUUAUACCAAUGAAGAGUUGUAUUCCAGCCUCACUAUUGUCAGGCGUGUUGUCCAGGGUGUACUAAAGCACAAGAAGUUCAAAGCUACUCCUUCUUUUGUGAGGCAUACUGUUCUUGUCAAGCUUACGCAGGAACAUGACAUGGCAUGCCUCCACAAACAAGUUUAUCAGUGGCAAGGCCACAAGGUUGUCUUCAUGAAGGUUCACAGGAUUGAGCUGUUGCGGGACGUCCUCGAUGAUGUUCAUGGCAAAGUCCGUCUUGUGUCCAGCCCAAAUUAGAUCGAGGCAUGAAAUAGUUGCCCCAGCUAGUGUUUAAUAGUAGUUUGGAUUGUGUCUAAUUAUCCGAACCAUGCCUGUUAUCGACCUCUCUAGGGCUAGUACUCUAUUUGAAUCCGUCUAUGGGAACUGCUGCUACUUUUGUGUGCCCGUGAAUCAUGUGAGAACCAUCGUAAUUGUUGCCGAAACAGAUGCGUCCUCACUAGUUUUUUCAUGAAUAUGGCAUGGUAAGACGUAAGUUGUCACGGUUUAUCAUACGAGCAGUGUGUGUUUUGAUGAAAUAGAGCACUCAUUCGAGAACCGUGCGCCGAUGUAUACAUAAGUACUUGUAAACACUGUUGGUGCUACCCCACUUAUAAGCAGUUGUGCAAAAUAUGGCACAUUGGCUCAGCUCACUUCAACACUAGGCUAUCGACCAGCUAACAAUCAACAAUCUGCUAUCUGACAUAUAAGCAACUAUGUAUCUUGUUACAGUGGUUCAUGCAGUUAAUUGAGGCCACAAUGUAAUAAAUUCCAAAUAUUCACACGCUAGUCCAGCGCUCAUGUGGAACACUCACAUUAAACUCGUCUUCAUAAAAAAACUUGAAAAGCAUAAGUUAAGAAAUUUUAUACAUCUCAAUGAUUCAUAGAACAGAAGAACAUAACAAACAUAUACUAGUUCACAACAAAAGACAAAGUUGUGAGAAGGUUUACAAAUCAGGAAAAAACAAGCAAGGCUUCUCUGAGCAAAGAGCCUCCCGACAGGCUUAAAUUUCCUGGAGUUCACUCUGGUUUUUUCUUGUUGCCACCAUCCAGGGUUAGGUUCUCUCAUUCCAGAAUAACCAAUUAUAAUUGUGGUCUCAGCUGGAAUGCUGAACUGAACCAUGCAGUGUACUGACCAGCUGAAAUGCUUGUGCAUUCCACUAAAUUUAAGCACCGUUAUUUGCAUAAAUAAGCAGACCACAAUGCCUCUUGUCCGCGCACCUGUCCAAAAAACCGCCGUGCAGUCAUGCCAGCUAGUCCUCAGUCCAUGGAUGAACUGGUAGAAAGUGCAUUCCGGACUAGGAUGCAGUUGUUUUCGCUCGUCCCUGCACUGCAAUCAGGAAGUAAAACGUACGAAUCAGCUUAUUUUAGAUUGCGUUGGUCAUUCUACCUUAGUUACUACCAAUGUAGGGAUACCUUGAAGACAGGAGGUUAGACGACGGCAACGAGGGAUAGCCAUCUCAUUUUGCGCAGUUGUACUAAAACUAAGGUGUGUGCUUUUGAUUGCGCGGAUAGAAACAAUACGGAGACAGACAUCCCGAAACGAUAUGGAGACAGACAUCCCUAUUUGCGCAAAUACGAAAUACGGUUAUUUAAACAAUGACAUAUAUUACUACUUUCCCCCGUUUCCUCUUAGAACCAAGUCCUAGAUUCGUGCUACAGCUUUCCCACUUUCUUCCCUGUUUGAACCAACGCUUUGAGUCAACUUUAUGAACUAGCUUUACUUCUAAUAAUAGUAGAAGUCUCAGUGGCUUUGGAACAGUGGACGGAAGUAGAAAAGGAUCCACACGAAGGGGGAAGAGCUGGGGCAGUAGAGCAAGGCAGGUUUCGAAGGAAUAUAUACCUGAGGGUCGUCGGCAUGUGGCAAAGAUGGCGUCGGGAGGCCGCAUCUUGGCCACAAUACCGUAGGGAGGAAGAAGGGGUCGGAGGCCCUCCCGAGCCGGCGCUCACUCGGAGAGAACGACAUGAUCGCCGAUCGGGACACGCGGGCAGCCGUUGGUCUCCUCCCUCGCCGCUGACGACAGCGUGAACGAUGGACCUACACCCCUGCCCCGGUCGAGGUUGUCCGGCCGGAUUUGUGACCAGCCGUGAGCUGAGAGAGAGAGAGUGUGGCCAUCUAUGUCUUGCUUAGAUCUGGUGAGCAUGAGAGAGUGAACGAGAGGAACCCUAGUAAAGCAAGCGCUAAGGCUCCUGCUUUUAUAUAUAGUGGAGUGAUUUUGUUGUACCGGCUUAAAAAAAUGCGCUCCUACGUGUACCCGCGAGUGGGUGUGAGAGAACUAGUGCGUGCGUGCACCGCUUCUCUUCGUGAGAGUACAAUAUACUAUUCCCAAAGAACGUUCGCCGCAAGAGUAAUACUCCCUCCGUUCGGAAUUACUUGUCACAAAAAUAGAUGUAUCUACAACUAAAAUACAUCUAGAUACAUUCAUUUCUUGGACGAGUAAUUCCGAACAGAAGGAGUAGUAUAAGUGUGUGACGUGUGAGCUAAAAUAAAAUGUGUGUGCCGUCUUUUGUUUUUUAGAAGUUCUGAGGGUAGGGCGUGAAGAGCACAUAUGUGCGUGACGUCUACCUGCAGAUAGACGGUGGGUGCGACGUGCGAGUCUGCGAGAGGACUCGGGAGAGUCGUGACUCGUGAGGGUGCGUGUGCGUGAGAGAGAGGGGGGCACGUAUCAAUGCAAUGCAUGUGUCCGUAAAUCAUUAUCCAACAAACAUUCACCACAAGCCUUUUCCUGAUGAACGCCGUAAGAACCGUUAGAUCGGCAUCCGACAGUGUCAGUUUUGCCAUGUCAUUUAACCGAACAGCCACUCCUCCUACACACAAAUCUUCCACGUGAGUGUUAGCAACUGCCGUAUGCUCCCUCCGUUUCGAAAUGCAGUGCAUAUAGCUUUAUUGAAAAUUCGAACCUCGCAAACUUUUACCGAGUUUUCGUGUACCAAAUUGCACAUGUAGAAUACCCUAUAUAUAUCAUUUGUUCAUCUUCGAGAGGCAACUAUAAAGAUGGGUGAGGAGUCUACAAAGAAAGACCAUCGUAUCACCCGCAGCAAUUUCAACCAUCCUUUAGUGUCGAGGAAUAUCAUAGGAACUCUAUAUGAUAUGAUUUUUAUAGGAUUUUUUCCUUUAGAGCCAAUUGGUUCAUAGGAAUAGAUUCAUAUACUCUACAUUUCAAAGGAAAUAAACAUGAUAUCAUUUCUAUAGCUUUAGAGCCACUUGGUUCAUAUGAAUGGAUUCCUAUACUCCCUUAAUUUCAAAGGAAAAUAAACAUUAGCGUAUAUUCAAUAGAAAAGUUCCUAUGAUAUGAACCAAAUUACAUCUCUUUUCUAAUCCCUCCUCAUAGGAAUUGAGAUACAUGUCAUCGCUAGAUUCAAUAGAAAAGUUCCUAUGAUGUGAACCAAAUGACAUCUCUUUUCCAAUCCCUACUCAUAUGAAUUGAGAUGCUCCAUGUCAUCUCUUUCCCUACAACUUCCAUGUAUACAUCUUCUAUUCCUAAAUAGAUAGUACAACCCACUAGUAGCUUUUUUCCAAAACAUGCAACUAUGGCACAAGAACUAUAUAGUGUGCCAAUAACUUUGAAAGAUGGUCGCUGGAUGAAGCUAACCCGACAAUGCAGAGAUGGGCAAAUCCGAGCACUGCUGACCGUUGGAUAUCAUCAACAUUCCACUAGAUCUGCCACAUGUACUAUUUAGAAGACUCCAUGGUUGAACUUAAGCAUAAUGCACAAACCUCAAAACACAAGCACUUCUCCUUUGUUCUAGAAUCUUCUAUAUCAUAAUUGAUUAUUAUUUUCUAAAUGAAUUGCCAUUAUUUGUUUUUUACUUUAUGAUUUACAAUGCACAACCCCAUGAAUCUGAACAUUUUUAUAAAACUAGUUGAUUUUGAAUGAGAUGAACUAUAAGAACUAAACGAACAUCUACAUCAUGCAUAUAUGACUCAAAGCUUUACAUGCUAUAGUGUGUAUUUAUUCAUAAUUUGGUUUCAAAAUCUCAUGCGUUCAAUAAAUGUGUACCUUACUUGUCUUGAGUAGAGUAGCAAAUUUCACGCGGCCCCGGGUAUAUCAAAAUGCAGGGCCCAUGCAUCAUUGCCUUUCGGUCGAACCUACAUCCACAAUUUUUUGUAUGUACUAUAUCUCCACUGGUCUCUGAACCCAAAAUGCUGCCUCGUUCCCGUAAAACCAAGCGGCCCACACAUAUUUAAGGCGUCGACUCGAACCUGUUUACUACGACGUGGCCCCGCACGCCGUAGUACUCCUACAAACCCUACCGCCGCACUCAUCAUUGGUUUUCUUCAAGAGGACGAGGGAGAAGCCGAUUUGUAGUGGAGGCGCUUUAAAAAAAGGAUCUGUAGUGGAGACCCCUACCCUAGGGUGCCCUAGGUAGCUGCCACACACAUCAUUGUUUUCUCUUUUCUUUAUGCUCUUGCGCCCUAGAGUGAAAUGAUGGUUGCUACGUCCGUCCAGCUUAAUGCGGGAAAGGUGGGGCUUUGUGAUUUGGCCCCUCAUCGCUCAUUUUCUACUACUGCGGUGCUACGACCGGGGUGCCUCCAAUUCCAACCGCUGCUCCAAACUGUAAUUUGGUGCAUCGCACGUGGAACAAGACGGUGGAUGAGCCACAUGUCUGCCAAAGGGGUCCUAUUAAGUGUGUCGCCAUUUCGUGUGCGGACUGGCGCUGCUUGAGUUGCUACGCCAUCACGACAGGAGCAGCCUACCACUUGGUUUUGCUCCUUGGUGAAUCCCGACUAUAUUGAUCUAAAAAGAUACGUGCUGUACUACCCUCUCCAUCUCAGUUUUUUAUUUGUAAGCGUUUCGGUUUAUAGGGCCUGCACGUAGUUCUAGGUCAUCCAUUUGACUAACUAAAUAUGAGUUACUAUGUCACAAAAAGUAUAUCAUUGGAUUCUUAUUGGUUGAUAUGUGAAGAAACAAGAAGCGAGGUAGAAGUUAAUGCACCGCGCCUUAGUAUUUUGGGAUUAUUUGGUUUUUGUAAGAUGACUUACUCACCUAGACGGAGGGAGUAGUUGUAUUUAAAAGUCGAGGGCGGGGCUUUUCUUGCGCGGUAGGCGGGGCAGUUCCGCCUAGUCAGUUCGACAGAGACGCGAGAAGAUGAGGGAGUAGGCUGCUGCAAACAUAGGGCUGUGUGAUUUGACAGCGAGUUACUGCUGGACAGGUGGGGCCCCGUGAUUUGACUUGCCAUUAUCAUUUUAACUGCAGCGCUACGACCGAGGUGAGUCUCCUGAUUCCUGACCACCUCCAUACAGGUGCCUCUCCCAGUGCUCCACCAUGUAGUAGAGGCUGGCUCUUGCAUGAGAGCCCACUUCUCCACUUUUUCCUUGCCUCUCUUUCCUCCACAUAUGCAAAAAUGCCAUGUAAAGCGCACUAUUGUACUUACUUGCUCCUACAGGUGCUUAAGCUUGCCACAUAGGCAUAAAGUCUGAUGUGGCAAGUUAAUCAAGAAGAGAGAGACUAGUUUGGUGACCCAAGGAAGAAAUGGUGUUAAGCGCGUGUACCUAGGUGAAAAGACAAUUUUGAGUCUAUAGCUAAUUAAAUGAAGCAAACUUAGCAACACCAUUUCAUUGGAAGAGGUCACUCCUUGGCAAAUGCAAUAAAUACUAGUACUCCCUGUGUCCCAUAAUAUAAGAACUUUUUGGCACUACACUAGUGUCAAAAACGUUCUUAUAUUAUGGGAUGGAGGGAGUACGAAGAAAGAGAUAGAGAGGAGUAAAAAAAUACACUUAUAGCCAACCUUGUUAUAGUAUAAGUGACUAAGUGAUCACUAUGUAUGACAUGCCAACAUCAAAUAGCCUAACGCACCGUGUUAAAUCUCCAAGGGCGCGACCGCGCGAGCGACGUGACGGUCAUGGUAGGCGCGACCAUGAUACGGGCUGCUGGCAGCCCUUGGAUCUGAGAUCAAACGAUCACAUGCUAAGUUGCUGAAAAUUUGCAGAAUAACCCUCCAGGAUAGGAUAUUCACCCAUAGGUCUAGAAUCACGCCAUGCAACUGUUCGAUAUUAGAUCCAAGGGCUCCUGGAAGCCCGUAUCAUGGGAGAAUGGAAAGCCACUACCCUGCCGUUCGCACGCUGGCAGUUCGCUCCUACUCGUCCCCGCACGUCCUUUAAUACUACGGCGGUUCGCUCCUAGUCGUCCUGUCCAUUCACAUUACGGCAGUUCCAGUAAUCCUAACCCUCCUCCCAAAUCCAUGGCUUCCCAAAUCUCCCCGAUCGGCGGUGAGUACAAGGUUAGAACCAUCACCGGCGAUGAGUUCGACGUCAUCUACACCCGUAGUUCCGCGACGGUGAAAGGAUGCCUUUCUCGCUUUAGACGCAUGUUCGAAAACUCAGAUGAUGAGUGGGUCGCUGGGCUAGAUGUUGAGUACACCACAGUCCUAGGACGAGAGAAGGAUCUGAAGGAUGAAGAGAGGAAGAAGCCCGUUGUUAUCCAGGUUUGCGUACAUAAUGUUUGCUUGGUCUACCACAUAUGCCAUACCGACGUUGAGUGCCAGGAUUUUAAGAACUUCCUCGAGGACAAAACAGUGAAAUUCGUUACUGUAGACUUUAAGAACGACAAAGAAGUCCUGGGUCGGAUAGGCCUCGUUGUAGGCAACCCCUUCGACCUCCAGAAGAAUCGGCUGGUGCCCUCUCAUCAGCCCUCAAUGCUGACCUUGGCAGGAGCCAUGGUUCAUCCUUCAUACUGUAAACUGGAGAAACCUCAUUACACGUUUCAUUGUCAUGCAUGGCAGCAAAAUGUACUAGAUAUAGACCACAUCCACUACGCUGCAAUGGAUGGCUACCUUUGUUUCAACAUCUACAAGGGUUGGAUGAAGAGCAACAGCCAAGUUGGCGGUUCAAGCAAAGAAGUAUCGGCCAAGAGGAAGAGGGACAAUGACGAAGUCGAGGACGUGGACGAGGACUCCGAGUAAGGUGGCAGUGUCAUUGCUCAUGGUGGUUCUAAACUUCUAAUGGAGUGUCUACCGGACUAGUUGCAUAGUUUAAUUUCAGGUGUGCUUAGUUUAAUUUGAGGGGUGUGUUGUGCUGAGCCCCCAGCAGAACUAUGUUAUGUUUCUUCUCGUUACUUUAACUUUUCAGUAUGUACAUACUACUAGUAUUUCUUUAAUAGAAUUUAGCACCCCAAUUAAUCACGUACUAGCUUUUUUAAUAGUACUAUAUGCAUAAUAUGGCGACGAGCGCUCUCUAUAUGUAGCACCUUUUUUUUAAAUUUCUGUUUUUGCUCUAUGGCGCAAUCCAUCGAUAGUACUACUGUACAAAAGUAUACAUUUUUUAAAAGGCUAGAGUACUAUUCAUCACACACACACACACACACACACACACACACACACACACACACACACACAUAUAUAUAUAUAUAGCCUGUUAAAUUCUCAAUCUAGAAUGACGUGCAUGCCAUGUAGUAAACCGAUAUGGAGGAAGUAUAGUAAAAAUGAGGUGAUUUUACCGAGCGAUCGGCGGGGGAGCAUGGCCUGUCAUGCGGUACCACGUGUCAUGAUGUACCAAGGCGAUGCGCGUGUCCCUCUUAAGGCAGAAGCAAUACUAGUACGUGGUUUGAGAUGAUGUCGAACCGAAGUGUGAAAUAAUGGUUGCUUUGUCCGUCUAGGUAGGUGCGACAUUGUGAUUUGACAUCUCAUUGCUCAUUACUACUACUGGGCCGGUACGAGUGGGGUGCGUCCCCCCGGUUGUUCUGCACUGUUAUUUGGUGCUUGACAUGUCGACCCGGUUGCUAUAUGUCCCACAUGUCGGCGAAAGGAAGUACAUAAUUCAUGAAAGGGAGCGUCGACGGAGGAGUAUACUACAGAAUUCAUGAAAGGGAGCGACUUAGUUUUGGAAAAAUCUGUUUUUACGGAGUACGUACCCACUAGGGUUUAUAGGGCUCAUCUAAAAAAUAUUCGUUUUUCCGUUUGAUAAGUCUCAAUUCUACUAUACUAGUAGUAGUAUGCGACGUCUAGAGCUAGCGUUGGUUUUCCCCGAAGAGGAGAGGGUGAUGCAGCAAGUGUAGCAUAAGUAUUUCCCUAAGUUUUGAGAACCAAGGUAUCAAUCCAGUAGGAGGCUCCUCAAAAGUCCCACGCACCUACACAAACAAACUGAGAACUCGCAACCAACGCGAUAAAGGGGUUGUCAAUCCCUUCACGGCCUCUUGCGGAAGUGAGAUCUGAUAGAGAGAUAAUAAUAUAUUUUUGGUAUUUUGUAAUAUAGAUGCAGAAAGUGAAGAUGCAAAUAAAAGUAGAUUGAAAGCAAAGAUGAUAAGAGAUAGACCCGGGGGCCAUAGGUUUCACUAGAGGCUUCUCUCGAGAUAGCAUAAAUAUUACGGUGGGUGAACAAAUUACUGUCGAGCAAUUGAUAGAAAAGCGCAUAGUUAUGAGAUUAUCUAGGCAUGAUCAUGUAUAUAGGCAUCACGUCCAUAACAAGUAGACCGACUCCUGCCUGCAUCUACUACUAUUACUCCACACAUCGACCGACUCAUGCCUGCAUCUAGAGUAUUAAGUUCAUAAGAACAGAGUAAUGCCUUAAGCAAGAUGACAUGAUGUAGAGGGAUAAACACAUGCAAUAUGAUAUAAACCCCAUCUUGUUAUCCUCGAUGGCAACAAUACAAUACGUGUCUUGCAACCCUUUCUCUCACUGGGUAAGAUCACCACAAGAUUAAACCCAAAGCUAAGCACUUCUCCCAUGGCAAGAAAGAUCAAUCUAGUAGGCCAAACCAAACUGAUAAUUCGAAGAGACUUGCAAAGAUAACUCAAUCAUACAUAAAAGAAUUCAAAGAAGAUUCCAAUAUUAUUCAUAGAUAAACUUGAUCAUAAACCCACAAUUCAUCGGAUCUCGACAAACACACCGCAAAAAGAGAUUACAUCGAAUAGAUCUCCACAAGAGAGGGGAGCACACUGUAUUGAGAUCCAAAAAGAGAGAAGAAGCCAUCUAGCUAAUAACUAUGGACCCGUAGGUCUAUGGUAAACUACUCACAACUCAUCGGAUGGGCUAUGGUGUUGAUGUAGAAGCCCUCUGUGGUCGAUUCCCCCUCCGGCAGAGUGCCGGCGAAGGCUCCAAGAUGGGAUCUCGCGGAUACAGAAGGUUACGGCGGUGGAAAUUGUGUUUCGUGGUGCUCCUGGAUGUUUUCGGGGUCCGUAGGUAUAUAUAGGAGGAAGAAGUACGUCGGUGGACGCCCGAGGGGCCCUCGAGAUAGGGGCGCGUGCCCUAGGGGGGGCGCCCUCCUAUCCCAUGGGGCCCUCAGAGCUUUCUUGACUUGCACUCCAGGCUCUCCGGAUCAGAUUUGUUCCAAAAAUAACGCUCCCGAAGGUUUCAUUCCGUUUGGACUCCGUUUGAUAGUCCUUUUCUUCGAAAUACUGAAAUAGGCAAAAAAAACCCAGCAAUAUGGGCUGGGCCUCCGGUUAGUAGAUUAGUCCCAAAAAUGAUAUAAAUAUGUAGAAUAAAGCCCAUAAACAUCCAAAAGGGGUAAUAUAAUAGCAUGGAACAAUCAAAAAUUGUAGAUACGUUGGAGACGUAUCAUAGUACCAUUACAUGAUGGAUUUCGAGGUGCAUUAGAUCUCCCGAUGCAAGCAGUGUCAAGAGGAAACUAACCAAUGCAUGUACAAGUUCAUGGAAAUUAGUGGUCAUUCAUGCAUUCUUCUAAUUAAUGCCUCGGUAAACAUAACUUCUUGAGAAAAACGAGCGUACUGUGCAAACUACGAAAUUAAUUCGACCACUCACCGUCUAACUUGGUUGGAGAGAUUUUGAAAUUGAGCCAUAAACUGGAAAGAAGGGAGUAGUAACUUUUGUCUCGAUUACUAUUUGUGGCCUUGUAUAGAUGCAAAAUGUAUUUUUUUUAUAGUGGCCUUGUAUAAGUAAAUGGAGGGAGUACUAACCAAAGUACAUAGUAGGGACGAGGAGUAAACGGAGGGAGUAGUAAAAUUUUCUCCUUGUGCUGCGAGCCAUCGCGCGCGUGGGCGAGGGAGCGGGCGUAAAGGCGUACAGUAGUAGUAAGCUUCACCUCAUCCUGCGAGCCACCGUGCCCGUGGGCGGGGGAGAUGGCGUACUAAGCAAGCUUCUGCUUGUUUUGCAAGUUGACGGGACACAUCAAAAGUACUCCGGUGUACAGAGCCUUGCCUCUAAGGUAGGCCCCACAUGGUUUUUCUCUUUUUUUAAUUUAACAUAACGCGUGAAGUCGCAAUUUGUUUGUUCACCCGUGGUAGACGAUCCUCCCUCCACCAAGUGGACAACCAGUACACGUGCCAAAUUACCACGUGGGCUGCCUUUUUCGUACAGAAAUGAGCUCCACCGUGUACCCGCGCGGGUGUGUUUGGGAAAGAGACGGGAGUACGCGCGCCGUGCGUGCACCUAUUCUCUUCAUGCACGUCCCCCACCUACGUGGGUGUGUGUGAGAGAGAUACAAACCUAGACAUAAUGCGCCGUCCAUCCCCAUGCCUCCGCCCAGUCCGACCACCAGUCACCACCGAGGCACCACGCCCCACUCCUCCUCACCUUAUCUCUCAUAUUUCUCCCUCGAUUUUUAUAUACAAGGGGCCACUAUCAAAAUUACAAUUUGCAGAUAUACAAGGCCAAUAACACUAAUCGAUGCAAUAUUAAUGGUGUUUGCCUCGUGGUACUAGAAAAGGAGGACAUUAAUUAUCCCUUGCAUGCAUGCGGGAGUUUGUAAAAAAAUGCAUCUUGAUGUUCCGUGCAAUGCACGGGCAUCUUGCUAGUCCAUGAAAACAACACAUGGCAAAAUUCCACGGCGAACGAGGGAUUUGAAUAUGUUGGGAGGGGCUAUUUGGAUCUUGCCCGGGUAGCCAAAAUAUUGGCGACCCUUUUGUCCACCGGUGCCUUUGCCACCGAUGAACGAGGAAUGGCUCGGGUGCUCAUGCUGUCAUGCAUUCUCCAGCACGCACGUUGGAGACGAGCUCGCACGAGCUGUGUUUUUUUCCUACAACGCCGCCCGAGCCGCCCGCAGACCGACCGGCGACCCGCAAAUUACGCCAUCCAACCGUAGCCGCACACAUUAUGACAGCAACUCAACCAACCGGACGAAAUUCACGCAAACACGUAGACAAAAUGAUAUUUCAUAUAAACAACGACGGAAAUCAUAUAAAAUACCGGAUUUUCACACAAACAUGAUGGAUUUCAUUACAUUCAAAUGAACUACGCGGUGCUAGUUAUGGACAGCACAGGUAUAUAAUACCUGGCCUAAAUGGUCGCCCGCCGAUCGAUUUGUGUUCCUCAUGUCCGGCAGCACGAUCACCGGACUGCCGGGAGCCCCGGAGGUAUAUGCUUCAGCACAAAGGACGGCUCGCUUCCCCACUGCCCAACUGAUAUCAUUGGCUGGUGCCGAAGAUGAUGGUGGCCGGCACCGGUUCGAGUUCAUCACCGGCCACUACUUCGCCAUGGCCGGCACCGGCUCGAGUUCAUCCUAACAUUUCCCUCUUCCGUGGAGCCCAUGCGUGAUCGACGAAGGUCCUCGCAACAAAAGGAUCUGGCAAGACACCUGCUGUGUACGCCGGCGUCGCCUCAGCGGUGGCCUUCAUGGGACCCAAGCGGCGGCGGCCUCCCGUGUUCUACUUCUCCUCGAUGAUGGCAGUGGACGCGGAGGCGCUGGCCACCGACUCGUCGCUCUCCGUGCACCCGGCUUCUGUCGUUCUUGCAUGGCAUGGCCGCUGGCAUGGGAGUCUCGUCCAUAGAAACGGGAGACGCGGUACGAGGCGGCGGCGCGGACGGCAGCGACGACGCCCGUGCGCCGCUCCUUGUCGAGCUGGCCUAGAGCGGCGAUUGCUGAACCACACGCCGGCUUGGGGCGGUAACUGGCUCCGUCGGGCGAGGGAAGGGAGGUGGAUCAGCGAGCUGCAUAGCUCGUAUCCGGCGGGCUACCCAGCCGGCUUGGAUGUGGAAUAACUACUCUUCGUAAGCCAUUGUAAGAGUGGACAAAAUGGUGGAGGAGAUAGGGGAGCAGUGGAGGUGUGCGAUUCUUGGCCGGUGUUUGGCCUCGUUUAAAUAGGAGAUUAAAUAGACGGCAGACGGGAGGAGCUCGGACGGCGUUGCGUUUGACGUCGGCCCAGUCAUGAACAAACAUGUGUCUAGAGUGGGUUUCUCGGCUUCCACACGGGUGGGUUUCUUGGAGGCGUUUGAAUGCGGCACGGAGGCGUGUUCAGCCGGGCGUGCCGCGAGUGGCACCCUCGACUCUGACCCAGGACACCGCGCCAUUCUUCCACUGACGUGUGGGCUCUUUGGGUGCAUGGCCUGCAUGUCAGUGACCCAACGCUGGCAGCGCACAGCAGAGGAACCUUUGGUGGGCCAGGGCGGUCAGAAGCAGGCAUUUCAUAAAUCGAUGAUUGUUCAUUGAGUGUGGCACCAUCUUUUUCAUGUAGUUAAUCCUACUAUGUUGAUAGCCCAUUCGAUACGUUGUUAUUCAUAAAGACAGCUGCAAACAUCAAUUUUCUGCUUAUCACAGAUAAGAUUGAUUAAUACCCGUAACAAUCCAUGUCCUUAACAAAGGGUGCAUGCAUGUAUAGGUUGAGCGUGUGUCUUGCGUCGUGUGCUGUGUGCAUGCAGGCGUGCGAGUGUUGCGUGCGUGCAAGGGUGCAUUUCAGUGUUGCAUGCAUGGGUGCUUACGUGCAUGUGUUCGUGAGUGCAUGUGUACGUGUCAGUGUUGCACGCCAGCAUGCGUGCGUGUGUACGUUAUGUGUAUGUGUUAGUGUUGCACGCCUACAUGCGUGCGUGUCUUGCGUGCGUGCAUGUGUACGUGCGGGGUGAGGCUACAUGUCAGUCGACUGACUUUUUCAUCUCUGGUCAUUAGAUUUUCCAGCCGUUGGAUACGAAAUCAAGGGCCUCUAGUUUAUCAUCAAACCCCACCCCCCUGAGCCGCCAGCCACCACCGGCCGAACCGCCCGCCCCCGCCGCCUGUGGCCGGCCCGACCUUCCCGAAACCACUCCCCACCGCCGGUCUGCCGCCGCACCGGCCAUCUCUCUAGCCGCCCCCCGCGCGCCGAGCUUUUUCUCCGGGGAUCCCCACCCCACCGCCCAAUGAACGACCCCCAACCACCGGUGACGACCAACCAGAGGUCUCACGACUUCGAAUACCCACCGACCACUAGUUUAUUACCAUUUCUGUCCUUCAUAUACGCACUAACGGGUGGACCCUAUGGUAAUGUGCGCUGCUGAAUGUGGACCGUUUGACUGGUCAAUUGAUCGUGUUAUCAACAAAUUACGGAUUUGUAUUGUGAGCCAGUGACGUAUGAUCACCCUAAAAUGUACUCCUAUUUUAUUAACACAAUACAGACUCAAACUACCAUUUCUUUCUUUCAUAUACAGGCUAACAGGUGGGCCCUAUGGUUACGCGCCCCGAUGGUGCAACACUAGUUGCACCGUUUGGCUAGUCAAUUGAUUGUGUCAUCAACAAAAUACGGAGUUGUACGGGUGAGCCAGUGAUCGUAUAAGCAUGACAUGUAUUUGUUUAACACGGUACAGACGCAAGGGCUCAUAUAUACGCGCAAGCACUCACCGCUAUAAGCGCACACACGCGAACCCUACCCCUAUGAGCACCUUCGAGAGAGUGGGCCAACAUAUAUGAUCUUGAGAUUUUUACAAAGUCACCAUAGGUGCCUCGUAGUCGAGUGGAACGUCUCCUCCCACUGAACGUACAUCGCUGGAAAAUACAGAAAUUAACACAAGAUAAAUGCGAGCACCGGGACUUUAACCUUGGUGGGCUCGAGAAACCACUGUCCUCUAACCAUCCAACCACGUGUUGGUUAGCACGACAAAAUGUAUGUGGUGACCGUGAUGAGCUUAUUCUGAAGUCCAGUGAGCAUAUCGUGCUUUUGCUUCAAAUACAAUGACCGUAAGUGUCGUCAGCAAAAUACGGAGCACGCAUCAAAUGCAAGAUACUGUUGUACUAUUGUAUAUGCUUAUUUUCUUAGUGGCCGAUUGCGUGUGUGGUGUGGUGGGCACAUCAUUUCUAGUUGUGGUGGGUCAACAUGAAGACUCAUGGGUCGGUUCCAUCCUGCACCAGAUAUAGGUUGGACCGAGACGUGUUAUACGAAGACCCAUGUGGAGGACUCGGCAUACAACACGAAGCUACCAGAGUCGCGGUGGGCUCUAUCCCCACUGGUGAUAAGCCAACUAUAUAUGAUUUGUAACCCUAGGAUAUACAAGCUUGGGGGCUAGUUCGUCGAUAGUAUACACACACGCACAAUGCCUGGUAUUCACGUGUACUUUGUACACACCCCUAUCACUAAUAUACAGUACCAGGAGUAGGCUCUUUCUUCAACUGCAAGGGUCCGAUCCAAACUAGGGUAAAACUUUGCCUCGUAUUACCAUCCAGCCUAACAGCCAGGGAUAUCCUACCGAAUGAUAUGAUGAAAUCAUAUCUGCCAACUACUAAGAGAGAGGUGUGUCGGGGGGAGGGCAAUGUGUGCGAGAGAGGCCUAAAGAUAAUGUGCGGGCGGGAGACACGUAGGCACAUAUAUGUGCGUAUAGAGGGCUAGUAGAGANNNNNNNNNNNNNNNNNNNNNNNNNNNNNNNNNNNNNNNNNNNNNNNNNNNNNNNNNNNNNNNNNNNNNNNNNNNNNNNNNNNNNNNNNNNNNNNNNNNNNNNNNNNNNNNNNNNNNNNNNNNNNNNNNNNNNNNNNNNNNNNNNNNNNNNNNNNNNNNNNNNNNNNNNNNNNNNNNNNNNNNNNNNNNNNNNNNNNNNNNNNNNNNNNNNNNNNNNNNNNNNNNNNNNNNNNNNNNNNNNNNNNNNNNNNNNNNNNNNNNNNNNNNNNNNNNNNNNNNNNNNNNNNNNNNNNNNNNNNNAUCACUAAUAUACAGUACCAGGAGUAGGCUCUUUCUUCAACUGCAAGGGUCCGAUCCAAACUAGGGUAAAACUUUGCCUCGUAUUACCAUCCAGCCUAACAGCCAGGGAUAUCCUACCGAAUGAUAUGAUGAAAUCAUAUCUGCCAACUACUAAGAGAGAGGUGUGUCGGGGGGGGGGGGCAAUGUGUGCGGGAGAGGCCUAAAGAUAAUGUGCGUGCGGGAGACACGUAGGCACAUAUAUGUGCGUAUAGAGGGCUAGUAGAGACCGUGCAUGUGUAUAUAUGCAUGUGAGAGAAAUAGUGUUUUCCAACUGAGAUUAGUGAAAAGAGUGGUACAUAGUAGUCAGAGAGAGAGAGCGAGAGAGAGAGAGAGAAACAGAGAGAGAGAGCAUGUGCGUGAGACACCCCGACACCCUGAGAGAG